AUCCGAGACUGUCUGGGCCUUGCUGACCAGCUGACGAAGAAUACUCACUAGUGGUACUGUAAUAUGAUGGACUUGAUGUGGUGCUCUCUAUGUGGUAAGUCGAAAUGCUAGAAAUAGCAGAUAAAUCUCCCUCAAAUUACUCUCUCUCUCUCGCUCUCUCUCUCUCUGUUAAAAACAAAUAAAAAUGGAUACAUUUCAUAUUUAUGAGUACUGUAAAUGAAAAAUGUUGGAGUAUUCAGAUCAUCAUCAUCAUCAACAACAACAACAUCAACAUUGAUGAUGACAAGCCUAUGUACACAAGGUAAAAAGGAAGAAAAAUGUAAAAUUAUACAAGUAGGGAUGAUGAUGAUGAUAGUGUUGAUGAUAACUAUAGUGAUAGUGAUGAGGAUAAUGCUACUACUGCUGAUUAUGAUGAUGUUAAAUAUUAUAACAUUGAAGACUGAUGUUGAUGACGGUGAUGAUGAUGAUGAUGAUGAUGAUGGUGAUGGUGGUGGACAUAGUAAUAAUGACAAUGUUGUAAACAGUAAUGAUGAUUUUAGAGGUGGUGGAGGUGGCAGUGAUGCUGGUGGUAGUGGUAAUGGUUGUGGUAGUAGUUGUGAUGUUGUUGGUGGUGAUGGUAGUGAUGAUGCUAGUGGUGGUGACGACGAUGAUGAUGAUGAUGAUGAUGACGACGACGAUGACAAUGAUGAUGGUGGUGGUGGUGGUGGUGGUGAUAAUGACAAUGUUGUAAAUAGUGGUGAUAUUGAUGGUGACGAUGGUGAUGAUGGUGUAAACAAUGAUGAUGACAUCAGUGACAAUGAUGAUGAUGAGGAUGAGGAUGAUAAUAGUGACAACUACGACGAUAUUGACAGUGAGGAUGUUGAUGAAGGCAAAUCACUUUAUUGAUUUCUAUCCCCAAACCAUAAAGAGAUAUCAACAAACUGAACUAGCUGACAUUGAUAAAAUAAGAAUUUUCAUAAGCCUGCUCUAUCAGGCUGGAUUUCGAAGGUAAACAACAUAAAAAAUUAAUAAAAAAAACAAAACAAAAAAACACAAGGCACAAUGGGAAUAAUUUAGUUUAGCUUUGGAAGCCAGCUAUAUCCCUUAGUGAAUUAGAGCUCUUUAAGGCCUUGUUGAAAGAUGGAGGUCUCUAAACUGGGUACAUCCAUUGUAGUCACUUGAAAUUACUUGACUUCAUUAAUUUUAUUUUAUUUAAUUCAGUUUAUAUUUUAUAUUGUGUCUAUUUCAACUAAAAACAUAUUUUUAUCUGAAAGAAAAAGAAAAAAACACAUUAUUUAAAGUUUUUUCCAAUUAAGAAAAUAAUUAGAUUUAUUUAAAAAUAAAUUUCUUUAUUAAAUGUAAAAGGUUUAAUUUAAUAUUAUACCAUUUUCUUUUUAAAUGUAAACUAAAUAUAAAUUAAAACUUUUUGUGGCUGUCUUAUUUAUUUAUUUAUUUAUUUAUUUAUUUUUCUUUUCUUUUUUUUUAAUCUUUUGCUUGUUUCAGUCAUUAGACUGCAGUCAUGCUGGGGCAUCUCCCUGAUUGAUUUUGUCAAACAAUUGGCACGAGUACUCAUUAUUUUUCAAGCCUGGUACUUAGAUUAACGAACUGUUACAGGGGUGUAAACAAACCAAAACACCCACCCACACACACACACACAUUUAUAUCCAUACUAGCAAUGCAUCCCGGUGUUGCCCAGGUGUUAUGACCUACAGCCACAUUGUAUUAUAUGUUCCUUUGUUAUGGGCAGAAUUGGCACAGCUAGUAUAUGGUGAACUGGAUUACUGGCAUAAUGGAAGUUACAGUUUGUUUAAAAGUGAAGGAGGGAGAGUACAACUUUUCUUGGUGAUGGCUUAUUUUAAUAUAAUGCUUAUGUGUUCAUUUGCAUAAAUGUUUGUGUGAAUAAAAUUCUACACAUGAGUAAAACAUAUAUGUAUAUAAAUACACAGGCACUCAGCCAUACACUGACACAUACACAGAUACUCAGAGCCUCACCUAUACAGCUAUGCACACAAUCAUUCAUUUAUUUUACAUUGACUUUUCUAUGGGUUUCACAAGGCUUCUUAAAGCAGUAUUCUAUAUCUGGAUAUCCUUCCGGCUGCCAGCCUUCACUUGUUUCUAAACAAGCUACUUAUGCCAAUGGUUUUCACAAGCCAUACUGCUAUAUACUUGACAUAUUGUUUAUGUAGAAAAGAACACACACACACACACACACACAUAGAAACACAAUAAAAUCAAAAACAACUAAAACUACCAACACAUCCUAUACCUAGCUACCAAAUGGGACAUAUUUAAAUAGUCACACUUACUUACAAAGUUCUACAUACAGGAAUAAAAUCUGAACAAUACCAAAACCCCAAAUUUAAGCCAUUAAAAUUCCUCCAAAAUACCUCUCCAUAACAACCCACCCUGAAACCUAAUUACCACUCCACUCAAACCCACAUACCCAAGGAAAAUUUUAACUCAACAGAGACUAUAUGAAGCCAAGAUUGACUUCUCUGCACCACAGUCUGACAAUAGCUGAAACUUUGGAGUCACUGUCAAUAAUAUUCUUCAUCAUCAUCAUCAUCAUCAUCAUCAUCAUCAUCAUCAUUUAGCAUCCGCUUUCCAUGCUAGCAUGGGUUGGACGGUUCAACUAGGGUCUGGGAAGCCAGAAGGCUGCAUCAGGCCCAGUAUGAUCUGGCAGUGUUUCUACAGCUGGAUGCCCUUCUUAACGCCAACCACUCCGUGAGUGUAGUGGGUGCUUUUUACGUGCCACCCGCACAGGUGCCAGAUGGGGCUGGCAAACGGCCACGGAUGGAUGGUGCUUUUUACGUGCCACCGGCACGGGGAAUCUAUUUGUGCUCUAUAAAAGUAUAGUGUAACCCAUCAAAUUAAUGUAAAAUUGUUUUUCUUACAAUGCAACAAAUAUAUGGGUAGAGGACAUCAAAAAAACGUUGAACACAAUGAGAAACGAAAACAUAAAAACAAAAACAUAGAAAACGAAUUUUUUUUGUAUGUAUUUAUGUGUUACUACUAGUUUCAUGUGCUGAGGGCAUGCCAGUAUUUUUUAGCGUGUCUUGUGUCCUAGCAAAAUCAUCAGGUACUGCCCACAUGACAUCCUAGUUCAUUAUGCCAUGUGGGCAAUGCCUGAUGAUUGUGCUAGGACACCAGACAUAUUAAAAAUACUGAUACGCAAGAGAGGCUGUGUGGUAAGUAGCUUGCUUACCAACCACAUGGUUCCAGGUUCAGUCCCACUGUGUGGCACUGUGGGCAAAUGUCUUCUACUAUAGCCUCGGGCUGACCAAAGCCUUGUGAGUGGAGAAACUGAAAGAAGCCCUUCGUAUAUAUAUAUAUAUAUAUGUGUGUGUGUGUGUGUAUAUAUGCUUGGUGUCUGUGUUUGUCCCCCCAACAUUGCUUGACAACCGAUGCUGGUGUGUUUACAUCCCCGCCACUUAGCAGUUCGGCAAAAGAAAAUGAUAGAAUAAGUACUAGGCUUACAAAGAAUAAGUCCUGGGGUCGAUUUGCUCGACUAUAGGCAGUGCUCCAGCAUGGCCACAGUCAAAUGACUGAAACAAAUAAAAUAAAAGAAAAAGAAAAAGAUAUAUACAUAUAUAUAUAUGUAUGUAUAUAUAUAUAUAUAUAUAUAUAUAUAUAUAUACAUACUAUCUCAACCUUAUUUUAGUGCUCAUGCUAACUCCCUAUAUUUCAUUAAUUUACUCCCUCAUAAUGAAUUUACACACCCAGAAGAAAUGGGUGCAUGGGUUUGGAAAGAAAAUGUCUUAUAUCUGUCAUUAACAAAUUAACUACUGAAGUAGAAUCUAAGUUUAAAUAUAAAAUAUUUUGAAGAUUUCUACAUUUCAGCGAUCAAUGAAGAACACUCAACAUCACUGAUAUUAUUAGCAGACACACAACAUAAAACUGAGAAACUGUGAAAGCUAAUGGAGGACAGAGCUUCAUGAUGCAGUGGGGUGAAAUGCAUUUUAGAAGAAGAUUCCUAAAUUGGUUGACUACAAAUGGAAAUGUAGAUAAUUUUGUAUAGCAAAAUUGAAACAACUUUUAAUCUUUUUGUUCUCUGAAUCCUCAAUGGAAAUAAUAAUAAAAAAAAGAAAAACAAAUGUAAGAUAUUUUCUAGCCAAUUUUUAGAUAUCCACUGAAUAAAUUCUAGGUGAAUCAAUUAUUGAUAUAUUUUGGAGGAAGAAGAAGAAGAAGGAAAAGGAGAAGGAAGAGGAGGAGGAAAAGAAGAAGAAGAAAAAGAAGAAGAGGUAGAGGAGGUGGAAGAAGAGGAAUAAGGGAAGAAGAGGAGGAGGAGGAAAAAGUGGAGGAGUAAAAGAAGAAGAAGAGGAGGAAGAAGAAGUGGAAGAGUAAAAGAAGAAGAAGAGGAGGAGGAGGAAGACGAGGAGGAGUAAAAGAAGAAGGGGAAGAGGAGGAAGACAAGGAGGAGUAAAAGAAGAAGAGGGGAGGAGGAAUAAGACGAGGAGGAGUAAAAGAAGAAGGGGAGGAGGAAGAAGACGAGGAAGAAAAAGAGGAGGAAGAAGAAGGGGAGGAGGAGGAAGAAGAAGAGGAGGAGGAAGAAGAAGAUGGUGAUUGUGGUGAUGAUGAUGAUGACGACAAUGAUCAUGCUUUAGAAUGCCUGAAGUGUUGUUACACUUUCUGGAAAAGGCUGCAUGUGAGUGUUGCAGAAACAAGAAGACAAUUUGAAACGACUCUUCGGAAAGAAUUUUGCUAUCUUGGGAAAUGAUUGAAAAAGAUGAAAAGAGUUGUGAUGCUCAAAACCAAAAUUAUGAAUCUUAUCAGGAUAUGAGGCAAAUUAAAAGAGGCUACAUAAAAGUGGUUGGUGCUAUUUGAAGUUGCUGAAAAUAACGAUAAUGCUGCUGUCCUCUAAGCCUAUUUAAUUGGAAGAUAUACUUAGAUGUCUCAUAUAUAAAUGGUGACCCCAUUUUUAUAAAUAUAUGUAUGUAUAUUCACAUGAUCCUAAUAACCUGUUAACUGGAAGUAAGAAAUACAAUGAUCAGACUUUGUGAAAAGAUUAUCUCAAAAUUAUUUUAGUACUCAGGCUGGUUGGUGUCUUACUAUUUUCUUCAUUCACACUUUUAUUAACAAGUUUACACACCUAGAAAGGUGCAAAGAUUUGGAAUGAAAAUCUUAUACCUGGCAUUAAUAAAUUAAUCACCGGAGUGGAAUCUGAUCAUACAUAUGGUUUUUUUCCUUUUAAUUUUUAAAUUUGAAAAAGUAAUUUUUUUAAAAUUGAUUAAUUCAAGCUUUUAAUUAUCAAAUCAUUUUUUUGUUUUUAUUAAUCUAAUAAAGUUUUUAUUAAUUAGAUUGAUUGAAUUUAUUAAAUUUAUUAGAUUUUAUUAAAUUAUCAAGCAAAUUAAUAAAAUUAAAGAUUUUGUUUUAGAGUUUUGAAAUUUUCAAAAUUUAUUGCUGUUUUAUUUAUGAAAUAGUUUUGUCUCCUUCUAAAAAUUCAGAAUCCCAUGACUUAAGAUGUCACAGACAAAAGAUGAUGCAGGACUGAACGGAACAGUAACAGGUUCUAAUACAGGUCAAUUCACCCAUUACCUUCAUGGAAUAAUAGACAAGAAAUUGUUGGUGAUAAUGAUAUUUAUAAUAAUAAUUAUGAUGAUGUUGAUGAUGUUGAUGAUGUUGAUGAUGAUGAUGAUGAUGAUGAUGAUGAUGAUGAUGAUGAUGAUAAUGAUGAAGAUGAUGAUGGUGAUGAUGAUGAUGAUGGUGGUGGUGGUAGCAGUGAUGGUAGUAGUGAUGGUGAUGAUAACGAUGAUGGUGAUGAUGGUGGUGGUGGUAGCAGUGAUGGUAGUUGUGAUGGUGAUGAUAAUGAUGAUGAUGAUGAUGAUGAUAGUGGUGGUGGUGGCAGUGAUGGUGGUAGUGAUGUGAUGAUAAUGAUGAUGAUGAUGGUGGUGGUGGUGAUAGUGAUGGUGGUGAUGAUGAUAACAACAGUGAUGAUGGUGUUGAUAAUGAUGAUGAUGAUGAUAAUGAUGCUGAUGAUAAUGAUGCUGAUGAGGAUGAUGGUGAUGAUGAUGAUGAUAGUAGUGGUAAUGAUGGCAAUGAUGAUGAUAAUGAUGUUGAUGUUGACAAUGAUAAUGAUGAUGAUAGAUAUGCUAAUGUGAAGUCACUCUUUUUGAGAUAAAGCCAAGUUAGUGUUAACGUAUUUAAUGCAAUGAAUGAUUAAUUAGAAAUAUCAAUCUGUACCUGUCAUGGACAAACUGUGGGUUAUUAGACUGCAUGCCGCCCAGAGGAUUUUCUGAAUGGCAUGCCCAACAGCGAUAAAACCAUCUGGAAUUUUUAGUAGUGUUGUCUGCCUGAUGACGAACCAUGUCUCAUGUGCCUACUUCCCAUGAAAGGUUGCCUAUGCAUUGAAUCUUCUCUAUUACACCCUCAUACUGCCCUCUCUACUCACCCUGUUGCUAUUUGUCAUCACAUCGAACCAUCACUUCCUCUCUUCACCCACCCUACUUCUUCUGUCAUCACUCUCUCUGCUAUUCACCAUCUUUGUCAUACUGUCUUGAAUGAAUAGUAAAUUGUACCAUGGAGUACAAUUGUGGGCUCUUUUGACCUGCAGAGUACAAGCAAUCUCAAUGGUGUUGGUGCAACUAUAUAAUAUGGUUGGUCAAUGAAUGGAGACGAUGUUGUUUGAGAGGACCCCUUUAGUUUAGUUGAAGUCAUGACAACUUCUCUAGAAUUGAUAAAAUACAUCCAAUAUACCAUGUAAAGUAAGGUGACAAGCUGGCAGAAACGUUAGCAUGCUGGGCAAAAUGCUUAGCAGCGUUUCGUCUGUCUUUACAUUCUGAGUUCAAAUUCCAUCAAGGUUGACUUUGCCUUUCAUCCUUUUGGGGUCAAUAAAUUAAGUAUCAGUUGCGUACUGGGGUCGAGCUAAUCGACUAGCCCCCUCCCCAAAAAUUUUCGGGCCUUGUGCCUAGAGUAGAAAAGAAUAUACCAUCUAAAGUUGAUAAUGGAUAAUUGGAGAGAAUGUAGAUUUGAGAAGACUUUUUAGUCUGAUUUAGGCUUAAAUAACAUUGUGGUUAAGAAGUUCACUUUGCAACCGCAUGGUUUUGGGUUCAGUCCCACUGUACAGCACCUUGGGCAAAUGUUUUCUACUAGAGCCCUGGGCCAACCAAAGCUUUGUUAGUGGAUUUGAGAGAUGGAAAUUGUGUAGAAGCCCAUCAUAUAUAUAUGUUAUAUGUGUGUGUUUGUGUGUGCUUGUGACUGUGUGUUUGUGUGUGCAUCUUCAUGUUUGUUGUUGUCCACCACCAUCUCCACCACCACCACCACCACCUCUUGAUGAUGAGUGUUAGUUUGCUUACAUUCCUGAAACUUAGCAGUUUGGUAAAAAAAAGACCAGUGAAAUAAGUACCUGGUACCUGACAUGCAAAUAAGUACGGGAGGAGGAGGCUCUUUUUUGACAAAAGUCUUCAAAAUGGUGCUUCUGCAUGGCCACAGUCUAACAGAAAAAGAAAAAAAAAUGAAACUAUUCUGUUAUGAGGAAGAUGAAAAAUUUAAGAUUCUUGUAGAACCUUAUGUCCAAGAGACAUGCAUGAUUAGUUUCCUUAGGUUCUGGUGAGGGCUAUCUUAGCAGCAUUACAAGCCCCCAGGAAAAACAAUGCACAGGAGUAUAUAGCAUUCAUUUAUUGAUAGUAAGCCACAGCAAAUAUAGAUCAGGAUUAGGCCCCUAGGUCACAGCAUGCCUAUUCUUUAACUCUUUAGCAUUUAAACUGACCAUAUCUGGCCCAAAUAUUCUAUAAGUUUUGUGUUCAAACUGACUGGUCCUGGCCUCUCAUAUCUAACCAAUAAUGUCAUUUUAAAACUAAACAGUCACAUCCUCAAAAUCUUGAAGUUAGAAGGUAAUGCAAAAUUAAUUCAAAACAAAUGUGAAUGAAUAAAUAAGGAUUAUAUUUCAUAGAAUAAACUGAAUGCUAAAGGGUUCAGCCAGCACCGGUUCUAGUGUUUUUACUAAACCAACAACACUAAAUAUGUGCUUACAAGCAACAUUGAUUUGGCAGCUGAGAAUUUAAAUGGCUUUCCAGCAGAUAUCUUCGGGACAAGAUAUCAACGUAGGUAACUUAGCUUGUACUUUAAUAUAUAUAUUAUAUGUAUGUAUGUCUGUGUAGUUUGUGUGUGAGUGUGUACAUGUGUGCACAUGAAUAUAUGUGAAUGAGUGUAUUUGUGAUACAUACAUAUAUAUAUAUAUAUAUAUGUGUGUGUGUGUGUGUGUGUAUAUAUAUAUAUAUAUGUAUAUAUAUAUAUGUGUAUAUAUAUAUAUAUGUGUAUAUGUAUAUAUAUAUGUGUGUGUAUAUAUAUAUAUAUAUAUAUAUAUAUAUAUAUUUGUACAUUUAUAUAUUAUUGUUUACUUCAAAUUUCAAGAAUAUAUCUAGAAAGAUCUCCUCACCCGCACAGUUACUAUCAACAAUAAAAGAAUAUAAAAUAACAGCAGAUCUAGUUAUAUUGCUAUAAAAUAAUAGAUAUUAUUUUAUAGAAACAUAGCAGCAUCUGUUUGUGUAGUUGGCAAUAAUUGUGUAGGUGAGAUGAUUUGGUUUAGAUAAAUAUUUGAAGUUUGAAGUAAACAAAAGCAUGAUGUGUGUAUGUGUGUAAUUACAUAUGUAUGAAUGUAUGUAUGUAUACAUAUCCAUGUGUAUAAGAUAUGUGUGUGUGUAUGUGUGUGUAUGUUUAUGUAUGUUUUUAUGUAUUAUGUAUAUAUGUAUAUAUACACACACGUAUAUACAGACAUGCAGGAAGUAAAUAGACACCUUUGAUUUUCAAAAUUUCUGAUCUAAGCGUCUUAAUAUGUUUUCAGCGGUGUAGAAUUUACAAUGUAAUUAUUCUUUUUCAUUCCAAGUGUCAUUAUAUUAAACAUUUGCGAAGAGUAACCAUGCCACACACAAAGAAUUCAGCAGAACUGUCAGAUUUUCAAAGAGGUCAUAUUAUUGGGCAAACUGAGGCAGGUCUUAGCCAGCAAAAAAUUGCCAAAAAUCUUCAAAUUCCUCUUGCUAAUGUUAAUAGAAUUAUAGUGCAAAUCAAAAUCCAAGGAAAAGAAUCAACAGGUUCUUGUCCUGGCUGACCCAGGCCCUCGAAAGGAAGGGAAUUGUGGAAAAUGAACCUCAUUCAAAGGCUUCUGACAUUGCAAAACAGCUAAAAGUUAGUCCAAGAACGUGUGUUACAUAUCUGCAUAAGCUUGGGUAUUAUGGACGAGUAGCUAGGAGAAAACCUCUCCUUCAACCAAUUAAUAUAAAAUGAAAGAUUUUGAAAAUAAAUGUGUCUAUUUACUUCCUGCAUGUGUGUGUGUUUGUUUGUUUGUUUGUGUGUGUGUGUGUGUAUAUAUAUAUGUAUGUAUUCAUAUCUACCUGCAUAUAUACACACACACACAUACAGACACACAAAGAUACACAUAAAUGUAUCAUCAUUGUCAUUUAAUAUCUGUUUUUCAUGCUGGUAUGGGUUGGACAGUUUGGCAAGAACAGGUGAGCCAGAGGACUGUGCCAAGCCCUACCAACUGCUUUGGCUUGCUUUGUAUUGCUGUAUGCCCUUUCUUAUGUGAAACACUUUACAGAGCAUAUUGGAAUGCUUUUUACAUGGCACCAGCACUAGCAAUGUCACCAAGUACUUGGCAACACAAAACCCCUCUUAACUGAGAGAGGAAGUUGUUUUGAAGGCAGUGGGUUUGUGCCAGGUGGGGGAGAAUUUAAACUAUGAUAGAGGAACAGAAGUAAGUGUCUUGCUGUAGAUAAGAUACAUGGCUACCUCAGUUAACGAGAGAGAGAGAGAGAGAAAGAGAGAGAGAUGAUGGCGAAGAUGUGUGAUGAUAUACUGUCAAGGUACUGAGAGGUGUGUGUAAGAGUAGUUCAGAGAAGUGGACAAGGUGAGUGAGCAGUGGGUGUAUGAGAAUGUGAAAGGAGAAUGAGAGAGAGGGGAGGAGAAGGGCGAUACAGUGAGUGGUGAAUACUGAUAUAUAGGGGAGUGGCAGGAUAGAAAUGUUACAGUUGGCAAGGGGAGGACAGGAAAAAGAGAGAGAGAGAGAGAGAGAGAGUGAGAGAGAGAGUGAGAGAGAGAGAGAGAGAGAGAGAAUGACAACAAUGUGGUGUUGGGCUGCUGGAGCAGAUAGUGGAGGAUGCCCAUGUAGAUCAUGAUGAGAUGUAGUUUGGAUCACUGGAGGUGGUAUGAAUUAAUGUAAUGUGUGAGUGGAGAACAUAUACAAACAGAGCACUUCCAGAACUCAGUUUCACUGAGAUGAGCGGGUCUUCUCAAGAACCUCAUAUCACCAAACUCAAUCCAAUGUCACCUCUUUCAUGAACCUCAACAUUAUAAGACUGCCCCUCACUACCCCAUCCCAUGUCUUCCUGGGUCUUUCUCUUGUUCAGAUUUUAAGGCCCUUUGAUUCCAAGUUUUGCUUCUGUACUUGAAAUUUCAUUUCCAUUUCCACUACAGAUUCUGCUAUAAGAGCAAGAUCAUCAGCAUAUAGCAGUUUCCAUGGGUAGCCAGUCUUAAAUCCCUGUGUUAUAGCCUGGAGGAAUCGUGAUGGAUAAGAAGGGACUGAGAACUGAGCAUUAUUGUACUCAUGGCUAACUCUCACCCUACUGAUAGCACUCUUUGAAUGAAUCGACACCAGUAUUAUUUUUUAAGCCUGGAACUUAUUUCAUCGCUUUCUUUUGCCGAACUGCCAAGUUACUGGGAUGAAAACACACCAACAUUGUUUGUCAAAUGUUGGUGGGGAACAAACGCAGAAACAGACACACACACACACAUGCACAAUCACAAACAAACACACACACACACACACAUACACACACGCAUACACACACACACACACACACACAAUCACAAACAAACACACACACACAUGCACACUCACAUGAUACACUUCUUUCAAUUUCCAUCUACCUAAUCCACUCACAAGGCUUUGGUUGGUCUGAGACCAAAGUAAAAGAUACUUGACCAAAAUGCUACAUGGUAGGACUGAACUCAGAACCAUGUGGUCAGGAAGCCCCUUACCACAUGUCCACACUUGUACCGAUGAUAUUGAUAUUCUUGUAAUUAAUUCAAGUAGCAUUGGAGAGGAUUAAAAUAAAGGGCAAAGAUGAAUUAAUUUAUCUGACAAUCCAAUAAUAUGGUACUGUUCUAUUCCUAACCCUCUUCCACGCUUGGAUCAGGAGAGAAGCAAGGAUAAGAAUGCAUUAUUACAAGUGACCUUUCUCCUACAGUUAACAAGAGCAAUUUUCUAGAAUUAGUUCUUGAUAAAAAUCUAUAGAUGUCUGUCAGUGAUGGUUAGCAAUGGUGGUGCCCUCAAUACGAAAGGAAAUACCAGUUGAUAAGCCAUCUUCUCUCUUACUCGUGCUUGGCUCUAUCUUUCUUGCUCUAUCAUUUUCUCUUUCUUUCUUUGUCUCUGUCUGUCUGUCUCUCCUCCUCUCUCUCUCACACACACACACAAUAACACAUAUACAUGUAAAGAAAGAAAUGUAGCCGAGAAGCCAACUUGCUAGCAAACAGACCUGAUUUUUUAUGCCUAUCUAUAGUUGUUUCACUUCACCUGCAUUGCUAAUAGCCAUUUGAAGCUGGUUUGGAAAAAGCUGGAAUAUUACAACAACUAUUCUAUCACCAAAGUAGUUUUUAUCAUAAAUAAACUGAUGGAUAAACAACCAAGAAUAUACUGAUAAGCAUAUGAGCAUAUGCAAAUAUGUAUGUAUAUAUAUAUAUAUAUAAAAGUGAAGUUGUGUGUCUGUCUUCUACGAUUUAGAUUCCUAACUACUCCCACAUUUUGCGGUGCAGUUUAACCAAAACUGGGUAUCUUAUAGUCAUGAUUCAUAUCGAGCCCUUCUGGGUAUUAGCGCACGUCUACCAUGAGUCUACGAUUUAAAAAAUAAUUUACCAUAAUUUUUUCCAUUUUAAUGCAUUUUUUUCGCUAUUAUAUAAGGGAAGUAACUCUCUAAAAAUGUCUACGAUGAGUCAACGAUUUAAAAAAAAUUUACCAUCAUUUUUUUCCAAUUUUUAAUGCACUUUUUUGCUAUUUUUUGGCUAUAACUCUCUAAAAAUGCUUAUAUAGUUAUUUCCCUUACAAACCAGAGCAACGACAGGCGAUACUGCUAGUAUAUAUAUAUAUAUAUAUAUAUAUGUAUAUGUGUGUGUCUCUGGUGUUUGUCUAUCUAUCUAUCUAUCUAUCUAUCUAUCUAUCUAUCUACGUACCUACCUACCUAUCUGUCUUUAUGAAAGCAUAAUGUGUACUCUACACGCAAACACACAUGCAUAUAUAUAUAUAUAUAUAUAUAUAUAUAUAUAUAUAUAUAUAUACAUAUAUACAUAUAUAUAUACAUAUAUAUGAUGACCCACCUACAGUUUCCAUCAAGCGCAGUUUCUGGUUGCCCAGGACUAUAGUUGAAAACAGUUACCUAAAGUGACAUGCAGUGGGACUGAACCAAAGACCAUAUAGUUGGGAAGCAAGUUUCCUAGCUAUACAACCACACCUACAUCUACCCAUGCCUGUACCUAUAUGCAUUUUCUUGAAAACACAGUUCCAUCCUUGUUUAUAUGUUAAUAGAGUAAUCUUUUAGGAAAGCGUAACCUCCCUAAUUUCUGGUUCUCACACAAAUGGGAAUUCUCUUGUUCUGCUGCCCUUUAGCUUUCAGAUUACCCUGUCAAAUGUAAUGCUUAUUUAUUCACAUUGUUUUGAAUUAAUCAUGUGUUAUGUUGCGGCUCUGAGAUUUUGGUGAUGUAAUUGUUUAUUUUUAGAAUGACAUUGUAAGAUAGGUGUACGAGACCAGAUCUGGCCAGAGAUAAAGGAUGAUGACACUGAUGAUGAUACCAGUAAUGAUGUUAAAUAUCUACAAAAUCUAGGAAAGAUUUAGCAUGCAACAGCAUAAAUUGUAAGGAAGAUCAUUCAGUCCCAGUCACUUAACUCCUUCAAAUAUUCUGAUCUCACUGAUAGCUAUGCCAUCUAAAUCAAGUGAGCUGAUGUUGUUUUGCAGUUAUCCCUGUUUUCAGACCUCAUCCUGAGGCUACAAACGUUCAAACAAUAAGUCUAAGCAUUACUGCAGUCAACCAGAAAAUAAGUAAAAGAAAAAAUGUAAUCACCUUGGAACUUGAUUUUUUUUUUCUUUCUGAGCUCCCAAAAGCAGCCAUGAAGUGUUAGAACUGUGGCUCGCUAAUAAAUUCUUGCACAUCAUUUGGGAAGAAUUGUUUCAAUCUGUCCAUGGAUUGUUUCAAUUGACCUCACCAACAGCAUUUGUAUUAGAAUCUUUUUACUCCAUCUCCUACGAUCACAAAUUUUUUCUUAUUUCUUUUCUUCCUUCAUAUGAUAUCUUAGUUAUUUAUGAUCUGGCAAGUACUGAUAAGAGUAUGUUUUGCUGAGGAAAUUUAAUAAGGCUAAAACAUGCCAGGCAUUAUCAUUACACAUAUUGAAAACCACCUGAUUCAUUUGUUUAUUGCAUGUCCAAAUCCAGUUUUGAAAUAAUUUUUAUUUAAUCCUUUAACUAAAAAAAUAAGUUUCAUAUUUAUUCAUGCUGGCACCAUGCUAAAAGCAUCCAAAACAUACUGUAAGGUGGUAGGUGUUGGGGAAGGCAUAAAGUACACACUGUAAAGUGGUAGGUGUUGGGAAGGGCAUCCAGUUGUAGAAACCAAGCCAAAUGAUACAGGUUCUUGGUACAGCUCUCUGGCUUGCCAAAACAGGAAAAGAACCAGUUUAGUAAGGAAGACCAUUCAGUUCCCGUUGCUUAACCAUCCCAACCGUGCCAGCAUGGAAGACAGGUGCUAACCCUUUAUCAUUCAUAUUAUUCUGUCAAAUGUAAUGCUUAUUUAUUCACAUUGUUUUGAAUUAAUCAUGCGCUAUGAGGCGGCUCUGAGAUUUUGAUGAUGUAAUUGUUUAUUUUUAGAAUGACAUUGUAAGGUGGGUAUGAGAGACCAGAUCUGGCCAGGGUUAAAGGUGAUAAUGAUGAUACUAUUAAUGAUGCUAAAUAUCCACAAAAAAAAAUAGAAUUAGAAUUAAAAUUAGAAUUGGCAUUUUCUGGAAGUCACACUGUCUCAAUAAACUUGACAUAUUCUUUUAUUCUUUUAUUUUUUUUGCUUGCUUCAGUCAUUUGACUGCAGCCAUGCUAGAGCAAUGCUUUAAAGGGUUUUAGUCAAAGAAAUUGACCCUCAAGGCUUAUUCUUUGUAAGCCUAGUACUUAUUCUAUCGGUCUCUUUUUCUGAACCACUAAGUUGUGGGGAUAUAAACACACCAGCAUUGGUAGUCAUAUAUAUAUAUAUAUAUAUAUAUAUAUAUCUCUAUAUAUAAACGGCAGUUUGUCUGUGCGUGUUUCUGUGUCUGUUUUCUUGUACCCUCACCCUGACCACGGCUUUCAACCGAUUCUGAUGAAACUUGACACACACAUAGCCCAAUGUCAUAAUUCAAAACUAACGCAGCGAAAAUUUUGAAAAGUUUCCCCAGUUCUGAAAAAAAUCGAUAAAUUCGACAUGGGGUCGAGAAUCAGAAACACAAACCGCAAACUGUCUAGGGGACGCAACUCCACCUUUUUUAACUAAAAAAAAAAUUUACCAUCAUUUUUUUCCCUCUUUUUGCUGUUUUUUGGCUAUAACUCUCUAAAAAUGCUUUAUAGUUAUUUCCCUUACAAACCUGAGCAACGCCGGGCGAUACUGCUAGUAUAUAUAUAUAUAUAUAUAUAUAUAUAUAUAUAUACAAUGGGUUUCUUUCAGUUUCCAUCUACCAAAUAUACUCACAAGGCUUUGGUCAGUCUGAGGUUAUAAUGGAAGACCCUUGCCUAAGGGGUCAUGCAGUGGGACUGAAUCCAGUACCAUGUGAUUGAGAAGCAAGCUUCUUACUGCACAACCACGCCAAUUAGUUUCAAACAUAACAUUCCUCAAUAAAAGAUAGCUUGAUGUAUAAAACUGUUUUCUGCAGUGAAAGGUAAUGAAAUUUUGAAUGGAAAUAUCUGAAAUAUCUACAGUAAAAGGGUUAAAUGCUGUAGCUAUAUUCCCUGACUUUCGCAGCAUUGUCGAUGGCUUGUUUUUUGGGUUGUCCAGAAAGUACGUGCCGAUUUAUAGUAGCUUACCUUUCGAAUUAUUUUAGAACAUAGUUGAGUCCAUAAAAUAGGAUUUGACUACACCUCCAUUUAGAGCACAGUUUAAGCUAUCUUUUCGUGGAAGAAGAUUUAUGUUCCUAUAACCUGUGUUAAUUCUGUAACCCUUUAAAAUGGAAGAUAAGAAAGUUCAUUUUCGGCACUUGAUUCUUUGGGAACCAGUCAAAAAUUGUUGCAGCUCGGCUGGGAUGUGUUACCCCACCCUCCAUAUUCACCAGAUAUUACUCCUUUGGAUUUACACUUAUUCAGGUCUCUGCAGAAUAGUCUUAAUGGUAAAAAUUUCAAUUCCUUGGAUGACAUAAAAAGAUACCUUGAUGAAUUCUUUGCCAUGAAACCACCUCAAUUCUGGGAAGAGGGUAUUUUCAAGUUAACGGAAAGAUGGAGACGCAUUGUGCAACAAAAUGGUUUAUAUUUGAUUGAUUAAAACUGUAAUGGCAAGUAUUUAUUGACCUUUUUCUUUCCUUUAAAACUUGGCAUGAACUUUUCGGACAACCCAAUAGUACUUGCAUUAGCGAAGGGGCAUGUCUUAGUGAUUAGGGUAUUCAGCUCAUGAGUUUGACUCCUGAUGGCAUGUUGUGUCCUUGAGCAAAGCACUUUAUUUCACAUCUCUCCAGUUCAUUCAGCUACCAGGCCACCCUUGUCACAUUUAGUGUUACACUGAAUCUCUCUGAGAACUACAUUAAGGGUGUACAUGUCUUGAACAUGAAUUUCAUGAGCUGGCUGUUCUGUUGAUUGGCUCAGCUAGAACCCUCAUCGUCAUAACCAAUGGAGUGUCAGUACAUACAUUAAAAGAGUCGUUACAUGUGACAUUAUCUAAAAUUCACAUUUUUUUUUCUGGAAAUAAAAAUUCUUUUCUUCUUCAUAUAUAAAUUCUUUUUUUUUUUUUUUUUUUUCCAUAUUUUGAGUUUAGUGAGAAGUAGCUUUGUUUACAUUUCUCAAGGCUGCUGCUACUCCAUAGAAGACAAGUCAGAAGAAUUUAAAAAAUAAAAUAAUGACUUCCAGCAAAAAACAAAACAAAACAAAACAAAAACAAAAACUCCAGUGAGACAAACAUGCAAAAAUACUUAUUCUGCUUUAAGCAGAGAAGAAACACAGAAUUAAACACAAAUUUCUAUUUAAAAACACAACAAAAACAGGCUCUUAAACUAAUUGCAAACAAGUGAAGAUCAAGAAACUGUAAAAUUGUUUUUUAUUUCUGAAUGAAAAAAAAGAUUUUUUUCUUUAUUAGCUGUUAAGGACUCAUAAUACAUGUAAUAUAAAACAUGUUAUAAAAGAAAUUACAGAAUCAUGCGGUGUAUUUAUCUGUCUACCUGUCUGCCUGCCUACAUAUAUAUAUAUCUAUAAGGCAGCGAGCUGGCAGAAACGUUAGCAAGCCGGGUGAAAUGCGUAGCCGUAUUUCGUCUGUCGUUACGUUCCGAGUUCAAAUUCCGCCGAGGUCGACUUUGCCUUUCAUCCUUUCGGGGUCGAUAAAUAAAGUACCAAUUUCGCACUGGGGUCGAUGUAAUCGACUUAAUACCUCUGUCUGUCCUUGUUUGUCCCCUCUAUGUUUAGCCCCUUGUGGGUAGUAAAAGAAAUAUAUAUAUAUAUAUAUAUAUAUAUCUAUCUAUCUAUCUAUCUAUCUCCCAUCAUAAGAGUUUUAGCAUCUAUUUUUCCAUGCUUGCAAAUAAAAGCAAUCAACCUACACAGGAUGAUUAAGAUACCCCAAACCCUCACCAGCAGCUAAUUGUGGUGCCAUGAAAUUACUCUUGAGUAUUUUUGAUUGUAGCUGAGCUUCCUCUUGUUCUACUUUUGUGGGUGAGUGGUCAAUCUGCUUGUAACCUCAUCCUAGUUUCUAUACCCUUUGAGAUCAGGACCAAAUUGAACUCCAAACAACUUAACAGGUCUGAUAACCUACCACCUCAUCACAUUGGCCAACAGCAUAGUUUUGUCUCUCCAGGUACCAAGCUGCAAGCUCACCAAAUCAUCCAAGCUAAUUUUGGCUUCUUUCACUGUCUCAUAUUCCUACAAAGUGGUGCUGAUCUCCUUUUUCUUCAUGGUGUAUGAAACCAUAAUAUAUACUCCUCGACCCAGUUCAUACAAAAGUGUUGCAAGAGGAUACUCUUGAAAGACUAACUGUGUGAUCUGAAAUGGUUCCAACAGGUGGGUGUAUAAUCUGAUAACCAAGCAGAUACUGCUGUGCAUUGAAGAAAUCUAGGCUCUGGAAGAAAGAACAGGAACUCCAGUAUAUCAAUAUCUUACAUACAACUCCUAGGCAGUAACAGUCAACCCAAUUGAAAGCUUUGAUGGGUCCAAAUUGAGCAGGGCUCUACUGAAGCCAAAUUUGCAACCUACCCUCUCUAACUGAGAAGGAGACUAACAUGAAUUAAAAUAAUGCUUCCUACCAUAAGCACAAGGCCUGAAGUUUUAGGGGGGUGUAAGUUGAUUUCAUCAACCUCAGUACAUGACUGGUACUUAUUUUAUCAACCCUUUCAGGUGUUGGGCCUCACGGAGGUCAGGUAGCUGAGUUCCUUUUGAGUGUUGGGUCCUGUGAGGGCAAAGUGACCAAGUUCUUUUCGAGUGUUGGGCCUCACAGAGGCAAUGACCAAGACCUUUGGCAUUAUGUCAUGCUUGAGAAGAAGACCCAUCUAGCUGAGCAUAAUCACAGUCGUGACAGAUACCGAUGUCAUGAAAAUGGCAACCAUGCUGGUGGCAUGUAAAAACACCCAUUACACCCUUGGAGUGGUUGGCAUUAGGAAGGGCAUCCAGAUGUAGAAAACUAUGCCAAAUCAGACUGGAGCCUGAUGCAACCUUUCAGUGUUCCAGCCCAUUCAAAACGUCCAACUCAUGCCAGUAUGGACAAUGGAUGUUAAAAUGAUGAUGAUGAUGAUGAUGAUAAUGAAAGGAUGAAAGGCAAAGUUGACCUUGGGGGAACUUUUACUCAGAAUGUAAAGCUGGAAGAAGUGCUACCAAGUAUCUUGCCCCACAUAUUAACAAUUCUGUCAGCUAGCCACCUUAAUAUGAAUUAGAAUAAUACUUUCUGCUAUGGGCACAAGACCUGAAAUGUGUAGGGAGAGGUAUAGUUGAUUAUAUUGACCCGUGCUUAAUUGAUACUUAUUUUAUUGACCUUGAAAGAACGAAAGGUAAGGUUGACCUUGGUGGAAUUUUAACACAGAAUGUAAAGAUGGACAAAAUGCCACCAAGAACUUUACCUGGCAUACUAAUGAUUCUGCCUUAACAUGAAUUAAAAUAAUCCUUUCUGCUAUGUCAAUUACAUCAACCCCAGUACAUAACUGGUACUUAUUUUAUUGACCCCUGAAAGGAUGAAAGGCAAAGUUGAACUUGGCAGAAUUUGAACUCAGAGCGUAAAGACAGAUGAAAUACCGCUAAGUAUUUUGUUUGGUGUUGCUAAUGAUUCUGCUUUAAUAAAUUAAAAUAAUAACAUUAAGAAACACUUGGUAAAAUAAUAUAUUAGAAAUAACAAAUAUUUGGGAUAAACAUUUGAUAAGUGACCAGAAAUGCUAUUUCUGCUGAAAAUUAUCAUGAUCAGAGCCAUGUUCACUCUGGUAUUUUGAAAUAAAUAAAUAUAAACAUGAGAAAUAGCAAACAUUGACCAAUAAAAUUGUCAUAAACAUCCACAGUUUAUGCUGACAUGUCAACUAGUUCCAGUUGAAUUUCAUUCAUCGGCAAUAACAUGUCUCUCAGAGUCAGUUAUGAGGAUUAAAUGGGUAAAUAAAAUCAAUUUUAUAUAACUGAGAUGAAAAGAAUUUGAAGGCAGUAGUUGAUAUAAUACUCAUUUUUAACUGACUUUUUGUAGCCAAUUACUGAUCUGAUAUUGAUCACAAUAUUGAUAAUCAAUUUCCUAUUUCGGUUCUCUUCCGUAUUCCACUAUAUAAAUACAUUUUCUUCUAAAUUCUGUCACAUGCUAAUUGCAUUGAUUUUUAUAAUCUCAUAUCAAUUAACGGUUAAUGAUCAGAAAUGGUAGAUUAAAGUAUCCUAUUUAUUAUUUUUUUACUUUGUUUUCUGAAUUCAAAUCCCAUCAAGGUUAAUUCGGUUCUUCAUUUUUCUUGGGUUGCUAAAAGUAAGUAUCAGUCAAGCUUCACACAUUUCAUUGGGUUGUGGCCAUACUGGAGCACUGCUUUCGACCACUGUAUUUUUUAGUGAUUACAUCAAUCCUGAUACUUAUUUCAUUGACCUUCAAUUAUUGAAUGACUAAGUUACCUUUUAGUCUCAAGGAAGCAACUUAUCACAUUCUUUUACAUCGAUGUAAACAAAUACACUCUCAUGUGCAUGUAGUGAUGCCAUCAUGGAAAUCUCCAGCACACAUGUACAGAGUUGGAUUCUUCCGGGGUGGGCCUAUCGGAAGUUCCCUCAUGUGCAUGCGCAGAAAACUAGCAGCAGCGAAAUUCUCUCAUAUUAUUUUCUUGAAUGUCAGCAGCUGAACAAGACAGACGUGUUUUAGCAGCUCUCUCAAGCUGCCACCUCGUGGCAUAUCUCUGCUAUGCUUGAAUGGGCAGGAUUUGGCUCACUCCACUUGACUACUGCAAUAAGCUCCUAGGCUGCCGAUUCGCCCAGAAAGAAAUAAUGUAUAUAUUGCGAAUCAAGAAAUAAAUAUUUAAACUGUUGAAGUUAAUUGGAAGUCUUGAAUCUUUCCUUCGAUUGAUAUUUAAUGUAAAGGAUGUGAGCUGCACCCUUCAAGUGCGGAGACCUCUCAUCCUGUUACACAUCUACAUCACAGUUCAUUUGCCAAAUGCUACUCACAGGGUAUUGAUUAAACUGAGGCUAUAGAAUAUGACCUGCACCUGAGUAACAAUGCUUUCAGAAAAGAAUUUGGUAGAUAGAACAUAUGUCUAUAUUCCAUAUAUGAGAUGCUUUCCAAAAACUUUUGCCAUAGCGAUAUGGCAGUCUUAAAGUAUAUCCACAUUAAGUAGAACAUAAUGAUUGCUGUUCAAUAUUAGUACUGUUUCCCUCUCUAAUAACUAAUGUGUGCAUGUUGUUUUACCUGUAUUUGCUGUCUUUAUUCAUAUGCAUAUACAGUUUGUGGUUAAUAUAAAUAAUUGACAUCUUUUCACAUUUCAUUUUCCUGGUUACUCUCAUCAUUAUUCUUGUAACUCUUUCUGUUCCUUGAUAAUAUCUUUAAAACCAUUAAACCCCCUCAUAAGUGAUUAAGUGCUUUAUAUCUUGUCAAAAAUUUCUGGCUUGACCCACUGACCUUUAUUCUUUGUUAUAUAAUCCUGCACCUAAUCUGUUCAUUGUAUCUCAUUCUGCUUCAAAUUCCCUGGAGAAAUGAUGCAAACAAUGCACAUAGACAUAACAAUAUUGUAUUACUAAAAUGAAAAUUGGAGGAAAUGAACCGUUUGAAAUAUGACUGAUGUUGUUUGCCUGUUGCAUUUUUGCUAAUAAAUAUUUUGUUCUGUUAGUGUAUUGCAGCCUAUACAACAGAUGCAACCGAAUACAAUUGCAAUGCAACCACAGUUGUAGAUCUGGAAUAUAAUAUGUUAUAUUGAGCUUUAAAGUAAUUGGUUAUUUGUUUAUGCACACACAAUACAUUACAUAUGUGUAUAUGCAUAAAUAUAUGCAUGCAUAUAUACGUAUACACACUCACACACACACACACACACACACGCACACACGCACACAUACACAUGCACACACAAAGAUACAUACAUACAUACAUUGAAACCCCCUUCGGUCAUGACUGACUGUGGGAUUGCACCUAGAAAGUUACCCUCCCAGGCACAAGUCCGGGCAAGGUUGUUUAUGGAAGACCAGCAGUCACCCAUGCAUACCGGCCUCCCUUCUCCAUGCCACUAGUGUCAUCCAAGGGAAAGGCAAAGGCUGAUACAGCUUAGCACCUGUGAUGUCACAACUCAUAUCUACAGCUGAGUAAACUGGAGCAAUGUGAAAUAAAGUGUCUUGAUCAAGAACACAACACGCAGCCUGGUCCAGGAUUUGAACUCACAACCACACGAUCAUAAGCUCAACGCUCUAACCGCUGAGCCAUGCACCUUCACUAUACAUACAUACAUACAUACAUACAUACAUACAUACAUACAUACAACUAGUAUAUCUUGAAGAAUACACAUAAAGUUAUAGCUAUAAAUAAUGACUUAGUGAGGUGAAAAAGUCAACAGGUAUCCUUCAGCCUUUUUUAACCAAAAGGAUUUGCAACCCAAUAUUUACAUCUUAUUAUUUGUGGCUUUAUGAAGGCAGCGAGUUGGCAGAAUUGUUAGUAUGUUGAGCAAAAUGCUUAGCAAUAUUUUGCCCAUCACUAAGUUCUGACUUCAAAUUCUGAUGGGGUUGACUAUGUCUUUCAUCCCCUUGGGAUCGAUAAAAUAAGCACCAGUUGAGCACUGGAGGGUCAAUAUAAUCGACUAGGCCCCUCCCCCGAAAUUGCUGGCCUUGUGCCAAAAUUUGAAACCAUUAUUUAUAGCUUCAUGUGUGUACUUUGAGAUAUACAUUUCCCAAAAAGAAUUAUCUAUCUAUCUAUCUAUCUAUCUAUCUGUCUGUCUGUCUGUCUGUCUGUCUGUCUGUCUGUCUGUCUAUCUAUCUAUCUAUCUAUCUAUCUAUCUAUCUAUCUAUCUAUCUAUAUAUAUAUAUAUAUAUCUUAAUGAUAAUAAUAAGACAACAAAAGAAUGAAAGACACUUCGAUAUUGUAUAAAUAGAGGAAUUUAUCUAUAAUAUAGUAUGCUUGUCGGUUGCCGUAAUAAAACUCAGAGUUUCAGAUGGUGGGGUGGAAGUCUGCUUCGGCAUCUCAUCAGUUAUUAAGAAAAACAAAUAUGCAUAUUUGUUUGUCUCAAUAACUGACGAGAUGCCAGAGCAGACUUCUGCUCCAACAUCUGAAACUCUGAGUUUUUUUAUGGCAACUGACUAAUUGUCACAUAUAUAUAUAUAAAACACAAGAGUAUUUUAGAAGUUUUGAAGCUUUUUCAUGAAACAUUUAUAAAUUUCAAAGAAGCCCCAAACUCUAAUCUCCUUCAAAGUAGGAUGCUCUGAUUUCAAUGUACUUGUUAUAGUGCUCCAGCCACUAUGUGAAGACCUCAUAGAAGUCCUUAAAUCUGAAGAUGUCCAUGAGUCCAGUCAAAGCCUGUUUAAUCUUUUCCUUCAGCCUGUGGAGCAACCAAAAGACAAAGGGAGCAAGAUGUGGACUGCAGGAAGGGUGAAGAAUAGUUUUGAUGCCAAUUUUUGUUAAGUGAUUGGGUACCAGGAUGGCAUUGCGGACUGGUGCAUUGUCCUGGUGCAAGUGCUCUGGCCUUUUGCUAUAAAUCUCUUCUUAAACUCUCUCCAAAUCGCCAAAAAAUACUCUUUGUUGACUGUCAAGCUAGAGGGAACCCGCUGGAUGGAGAUGAUGCCCUUCCUGUUAAAAAGCAGAUUGUAAUGAGCCUUCUGACGUUCUUGCUUUGCCUGGCCUCUUGUGCCUGUAGAAAACAGAUGCUCAACUCACACAAGUUAAUCCAUAAACGGUCUGGAGCAUUUCAUAAGUUUCUAUAGAGCUUUUACCCAGUUUAACACAAAACCUUAUUACAUAUACAUACCUGAUGACUUGAUUUUUUUGUUAACCACAGAGGGGACAACACAAGGACAGACAAAACACAUAAGUGGAGGAAAAAUAAAAUCGAAUGAAAAGAAUAGUAAUGAUAAAUGUAAAGGUGGAAUGACUUUUACUCGAACCCCACACUCCAGUUAACAUCCUUCAACGUUUUUAGAAAAAAGAAUUUUAACACCUGCUAUUUCAUUUUUGUCUCUUUCUCCUUGCUGUGUGUUGUUUGUGUUAUAAGCUUCCAGAUUGUCUUCAUGUCUCGAAGGCAUUGUGCAAACUAGUCGCCUGUAACAAGUAGUGGUUAAUAGGGUGUGUUCAAAGUGCUGCUGCCACAGCUCUCACCUUCAGUCUGGAAUAACAGAAGUUGGUAGGUCAGGUUAUUAGAUGCAUAGUAUUGAUAUACUAAAAUUAGGCUGUUAUAACUGCCUCUCUUAAAAAAGUCUAAAAACUUCUAGAAAGCACCUUGUGUGUGUGUAUGUGUGUGUGUGUGUGUGUAUGUGUGUGUGUGUGUGUGCUUCAUUAGUGUUUCAAAUAUUUUUCUAAAGCCAAACUAACGCAAGUUAUGAAAAAUUAAUAAUGCAGGUUGACGAUUAGUACAGUUACCAGGUUACUAGAUAAUAAUAAUAAACAUUGACAUGUAUUAUUAAUUUUUCAUAACUUGCAUUGUUUUGGCUUUAAAAAAAUAUUUAAAACAUUUAUAUAUAUCAGACAAUGCUUCAUGAAAACUAUACUACACAAUAAAUAUCUGUGUGUGUGUGUGGGGGGGGGUGUUUUUUUGGUUAAGAUGUUUGCUUUCCAAUCAUACGAUCUCAGGUCCAGUCCUAAUAUUUCGCACUUUAGACAUGUGUUUUCUAUUAAAGCUCCAGGCCAACUUAAGGCCUCUGUGAGGAUGUAAAGCUGUAAGGUCUCUCUUUAAUUGUCUAUAUUUUCUUGAAGAAGGACUCUAUCGAAAACAUUGGAUUUUUUUUCCAUUACUCGUGCCAUGUUUAUUGUGCUCCCCUGCUUUUUAUUUUGUUGAUAUUAUUGUAUAUACAUAUAUAUCUGAUGGUGGUAAGCUGGCAGAAUCAUUACCAUGCUGGGCAAAAUGCUUAGCGGCAUUUCAUCUGUCCUUACAUUCUGAGUUCGAAUUCUGUUGAGGUUGACUUUGCCUUUCAUCCUUUCAGGGUUGAUAAAUUAAGUACCAGUGAAAGACUGGGGCUGAUGUAAUCAAUCAGUCCCCACCCGCCAAAAACAGGAUUAUUAUAUAUAUAUAUGAAUAUACAUAUACACAUAGGAAAUGCAAUGAGCGCUAAAAGAAAUGAACACAUGAGAAGAGGGAUAUGGUUUAACAAAUACUGUCAUAGCAUAAGGUUUGAAAGAAAAGAGCGACAGCCUUAACAUUUCAGACAUUUGCCCUUCAUCAGAAGAAAAGGAUAGUGAGAUUGAGAAAGAGGAAUAGCCAGUGAGAGAAGAUUUAAAAAGAAACAAAAAGAAAAGGACAAAAGUAGUGUGAGGGGUCAGAAUCAGGUGAGAAUGCAUUUCUGUGGGGUGGAAAGUUAAGAAGGGUGGCAGGGGAAGGUGUGUAUGUGCAAGUAGAGGAAUGUGCCCAUGUUAGGAGAUGAGAUGAGAAGUGGUGCAUGUGUGUGGCUUUUUGUGGGUGUAUGAAUAUACAAGUAUGGAAAAAUAGUGAUGUAGAUUAGGAUGGUGUGAACUGAUGGUAAUGGUUGUGGUGGUGGUGGUGGUGUGUGCAUGUGUGAGUGUGUGUGUGUGUUAUUGCUAAGAGUGUGUGAAGAAAGACACAUUUAUAUAUAUAUAUAAACUGUGACUAGUCAGUUUCUGGUAUCACAAGUAGCUGGUGGGCAGAAUAAAAAUCAAUUAGUGAUAGAAGCAAAAGCAAUCAUUAUAACCUACUUAUAUAUAUACAGUUGUGGCCAAAAUUUUCAGAACGGCAUUGUUUUUGUCAAAAAUGUAGGUAUAAGUUUUUAUUAAAGUUGUUUUAUAUUCUAUAAUUUUCACAGACAAUAAAUACAAUAUUAAUUGGUAUUGUUUGAGAUUUUGGUGUAAUUUGAAUGGAUAAUACAAAAGUUAUGGAUGAUAUAGUGAUUUACUGCAAAACCCAUGGUGGCCAAAAUGAUCAGAACGGUUGAAAAAAUAACAAAAUAAUCAAAAAGUGACAGAGAAUGCUGGAAUUAUUUCAUAUUUAGUGUGAAGCCCUUUAGCUUCAAUCAAAGUUUGACAUUUUCAACUGCAUGGGGAAAUAAAAUUUUCAAUUUCUUGCUGGGUGAUCUUAUUCCAUUAUUCCUGAAGGGCAUUCCAUAAUUGCUCGGUUGUUUUAGGAUUUCUGGCUUUCAAACGUUCUCCUAGAAUAUUCCACACAUUUUCAAUAGGAUUGAGGUCUGGGCUUUGAGCAGGCCAAUCCAUAACAAUAACCUUUUCAGCCUUGAGGAAGUUCAUGACCACCUUAGCCUUGUGACAUGGGGCAUUGUCCUGCAUGAAUAUGGGUGGUCGCUUAGUUGAAUUUCUCAGCACAGGCGAGACAUGAUCUUUUACAAGUUGUUUAUAAACUCCUGCAUUUACCUUUCCAUGUAAUUGCAGCAAAGGGCCCACAACAUCUCCAGAUAUCAUUCCCCCAAACCAUGACACUUCCUCCACCGAAUUUAACACUAGUCUUAAGGCAUUUAGGUGACAAUUUUUCACCUGCUUUUCGACGAACUUACCUUUUCCCAUCUGAGCCAAAUAACAUAGACUUAGAUUCAUCACUGAAAUGCACUGUUUGCCAUUUUUCUUGAGACCACAACACAUGUUCGGUUGCAAAGGUAAGACGACACUUUUUAUUCUUGGAGCUGAUCAGUGGCUUCACUGCAGGUGCUCUUGCUUGUAGGUCAUGUUCAACUAAAGGACGAGACACAGUUUUUGGAGAUAAAGUUUUCUUCAGUACAAUGCUCAUUUCCCGAAAAACAGCAGCAGCAGUUUUAAAUCUGUCCUUUUUAACCAACUUUACCAUAGCACGAUCUUCUCUCUUGGUCGUUUUUCUUGGCCUACCUGUAGACUUUUUUGCUUCACACGAACCACAAUCAUCGUAGACCUUAAGAAUACCGUGAACAACACUUUUUGACUUGUUAACAAUCUUUGCAAUAGACCAAAUACUUAAAUUAUCCUUCUUUCGAAGCUUAAUAAUCUGCUGACGAAUUGGUAACGGAGUAAGUGGCAUUAUAUUAACAAAGUACACUGCAGAUAUUCUUACUAAUGUUUAGUAAACGAACUGUCACGUAAACAAAUUCAAAACAUUAGAGUUCGACGGUUAAAUAUACUAAAACAUGGAGUAAAAGGAACUGUUCUGAUCAUUUUGGCCGCCAUGGGUUUUGCAGUAAAUCACUAUAUCAUCCAUAACUUUUUUAUUAUCCUCUCAAAUUACACCAAAAUCUCAGACAAUAACAAAUAAUAUCGUAUUUAUUGUCUGUGAAAAUUAUAGAAAAUUAAACAACUUUGAUAAAAACUUAUACCUACUUUUUUGACGAAAACAAUGCCAUUCUGAACAUUUUGGCCGCAACUGUAUAUAUAUAUAUAUAUAUAUAUACCAGUACAGAUGAAGUUUUGCUUGCAUAUGGUGAUAGAGGAUAUAUGAUGAAGUGCAAAGAUGUAGAAAUCACAUGAUCAUGCAGUUCUACUUGUCCAUUGCUAAUAUUUCUGUGCUUUUUAGCACUGUGCAUAUAUAUAUUUUCUCAGGAUAAGUACUUCAGUAUUAUGGCCUUAUUAAAGUACAUCCACUUUAAUUACAGCAUAAAGAUUGUUAUUUAAUACUAAUACUUCUUUGUCAUAUAACUAAUUUUUAACUAUGCUACUAGCUACUUGCGAUUAAUCAGUCACUGUUUUUCUAUAUGUUAAUAUAAACAAAGUUUGGCUAGCAUAUGGUUUUACUGAAUACUUGCUACUGAAGAAGCGCAAACAUGAAGAAAUCCCAUGAUCUGGGGGAUCCACUGCUGGGCUAGUACUGAACAUUACUUGUUCACUACUGAUAUUUCUGUGGUUUUUAGUUCUAUAUGUUUAUACAAGAUGCUUUCUCAAGAUGAAUACCACAGUAUUAUGAAAUUCUUAAAGUAUAUCCAAAUAAAGAUUGAUAUAAUAAGAUACACAGAAAAAGUCAUGUGAUAUUCAGUUACUUGGUUACUUGGUCAAAAUGUUAAAUUCAUUUCUCCUUUUUCAAGCUGGUGUAGUCAACAAGAUAGUCUAGUAAUUGUGUUUAAUGUAAUUGAAGUCUGAAUGAGCAUGCGACUUCGAAAAAACAGAGGUUGAUCAAAAGGAGCUUAUUAGCUGUAUAGCAACCAGAGACAGUCUUUCACGAAAGUUGAAAACAUCAUAACUAACACUGGAAUGAGUUACUGACUGUCUGGUGGUUUAUAGUUAAUUCCUUCUAAGAAGUACUUUGUAAAAUGUGGUCAUGAUAAAAUAUCCUGCUUUUGGUAUUUAUACAGUCCUUGGAGGAUCUUAGAUUCUUUAAAAGACAGUUUUAUAAAUAUAUAUAUAUAUGCACACAUACACACAUACAUGUUCUUUAAAAGAUACCGUUGUAUAUAAAUAAGAUUACUGUAAUAUAUAUGCAUAUAUAUAUAUAUAUAUGUGUGUGUGUAUAUAUUAUACAUACAUAUAUAUAUAUAUAUAUGCAUACUUAUGUACAUACAUGUAUGCAUACACAUGCAUGCAUAUAUAUGUAUAUACAUAGAUACUUAUAUAUAUGUAUGUAUGUGUGUGUAUGUAUAUACAUAUAUAUAUAUAUGUAUAAGAAUAUUCACAUAUAUUUUUAUCGCGAUAAGAAUACAAGAAUUUUAAUUUUGAAGACAUUAGGGAGAUAGAUAAAUAAUUAUAUUUUGCAGUUAAACAUACACCUACAUAUGCACAUAUAUGCAUAUAUAUAUAUAUAUAUAUAUAUAUAUAUAUAUACUGACAUGUAGAUAUAUGAUUAUAAAUAUUUAUGAAUUUUACAUGAGUAUGUGUGCAUAAGCACACACACACACACACACAUAUAUACACAUACAUAUAUAUGUAUAUAUCAAUAUAUAUCUGUACACAUACGCACAUGCAUAUAGGCACCAAUACAUAUGUAAACCAAACUGUCAUAGAGUAAACUGGACUAAGAGAAUAGGUAAAUGAAUAAAUAUAACAUGAAAGAACUUGAAAGAAGUGUAGAUAACGGAAUACGAUGAAGAACAGAGCAACAGCAUCCAAUAAAUAUUUGAAAUUAUACUAAUGAUAGAUUUUUCUGACUGAAGGAUGUUUCUCUAACAACACAUUAAAUAAAUACAAGAAUAAUUUCCUUUCCAAAUCAAUAUCUAAGUUCCUUUCUUUAACUGGGAGUCUGUGAGAUUAUAGUUAAUGAUAGAUUCUGGUUGUUAGAUGUUAGCCAUACGUCCCCCCUCUUGUACAACAGGUUACAUGCAUACAGACAUAUGAACAUAUAUACAUACAUACAUACACACAUACAUACAAGCAUGCAUGCAUACAAGCAUGCAUACAAGCAUGCAUGCAUACAUACAUACAUACAUACACACCACAUAUACAUAUACCAUAAAUACGUGUGUGUGUAUAUACAGUUGUAUAUAAAUAAAAUUACUGUAAUAUAUAUGCAUAUAUAUAUAUAUCUGUGUGUGUGUAUAUAUUAUACACAUAUAUAUAUAUAUGCAUACUUACGUACAUACAUGUAUGCAUAUACAUGCAUGCAUAUAUAUGUAUAUACAUAGAUACUUAUAUGUAUGUGUAGGUCACAUGGAUACAUAGACAUACCUUAAAAUUAGCACAGGAAUUUAUAUACCUACAUGCAUACACACACACACACACAAACAGAUAUAUGUAUAUAUGUAUAUAUAUAUAUAUGUAUGUACAUAUAUAUGUGUGUGUGUAUAUAUAUAUAUAUAUGUAUAUGUAUAUGUAUAUGUGUGUAUGUAUGUAUUCAUGUAUACAUAUGCAUAUAUGUAUAUAUGCAUGUAUGUAUGUAUCUCUCUAUAUAAAAUUCUUUGUCUGUUCCCUAUGCAUUCUCAAAUGGCUCCACCAAAUCAAACCCAAUUUUACAAGGUAAUAGUAUUACACACCCACGAGGAUCAACCUGUAAUUUUUAUGUUCAUUUGGAUUGAAACAAUAUAAUAUUUGCUUGAAAAUAACCUUUCUAUUUUCAACUAUAGUAAAGGACAUCUUAUACCAUAACGACGAUGAUGUCACAUUUUGUAUAUGAGUGUGUAUGUGUAUGUGGAUGUGUAUGUGUUUGCACAUUUGUUACAUAUGAGAUUGUAAAGGACAUUUUAUACCACAACGAUGAUGAUGUCACAUCUCUAUCUUUCUCUUGUUCUUCUGUCAACUAUUCUAUCUAGCAUUUACCAUUGUAAUGAUGUCCGGCACCAAAAAAUUAUUACAGCUACUUCCCUUGUUUACAAUCUUCUUUGCCAGUGUAUUUGUGUACACCAGCUCAUAAACAAAAUGUCAGAAAGGCUGAAGGGUCAAACAAAAACGAUGUACUGGUGUAUUUGUGUAUCGGUAAAUAACAAUGCUGUAAUGAUUUCCGGUACCAAAAUAUUUUUUACAGCUACUUUCAUUGUUUGCAAUCUUCUCUACUGGUGUAAUUGUGUAUCAAUAAAUAAUCAUGGUUAAAUAUUUUGUAAAGGAUCUGUUCAUACCUUGGUGUGAAAUAAAGUUUUUCCACAGGUUUUAUGAGUACAUUUAACAUAUCUAACCUCCAAACUUGCCGCAAGCCAUUUUGUCAGAAAAGAAAGCGGGGUAGGUGUCAAAAAAUUAUUUCACAGUGAAAUAUCAGUGGGUCCUUUAUCACAAAAAGCUGUUGCAUGGUAGUAGCGCAUGCUAGAAAUAGCAGGCAAAUCUGACCUUUUCUGGGGAAAGAAGCCGUUUACAUGUUAUUUAGAUGUCACAUUCAUUGAAAGUAUGUGAAAUGACUUUGAAAAGAAUAACCAAAACCUGCAGCACAAAACUCCAUUGGUGGGAAACUCAAAGGUUCCCACCACUCCUCCCCACUUUCUUUUCUGAAAAAAUGUGACUUUGUCAGGCUUAGAGGUAAGAUACGUUGCAUGCACUUGGAAAAACUCAUAGAAAAAAAUUAUUUCUCACUGAGGUGCGAACAGGUCUUUUAUAAAAUAUUUACAUAACCAAAUUACACUACAAGCAAAGAGUACUGUGUUAAAACUAUGAGUAUAACCUGAGUGAAACCAGGUCCUUCUGCUGGUGUGUAUAUAUAUGUGUGUGUGUGUGUGUGUGUGUGUGUGUGUGUGUGUGUGUGUGUAUGUGUGUGUGUGUGUGUGCGUGUGUAUACACACUUAUGUCUAUAUGUAUAAAUACAUUUAUAUUCUAUGCCCAACAUACCAUAAAUCAGGAGAACUGAAAUAAAUCUAAACAUUACAAAGCCUCAUUGUGUGUUAAAUAAGAAUGUAAACUCAUUCUUUUUAUGCUACUGAUAUGGGAAAAAUAAAGUAAGGGAGUUUUUCGAUGGACUGUUUCAAGGUUUGUUGACUGCUCUUCAGAGAAAAUGAAGUUAACUUAUUUCCAUAAUCUAUAUCAUAGGUCAGCUGCUGUAUAAAACAGUCAUAAUGAAUUAGCCUGAUGAUGCACAUCUGUGCUUUUGAUAGUUAUUAAGAUAAAUACAUCUAUUUUAUAUACAACACAGUGUAAAUCAGGAAUGAAAUAAAAUUAAACAUAAGAAAUUAAUGACUUUAAUAGUGUAGCCACUGUCACUAUCUUCUUUCAGUACUGUAGCCACAGCCUUAUGGAGGGUACUUCACAAAACCAUUGUACUCUGAACUAUCCAAUACUCCCACUCAAAUUAAUGUUCAGAACUUUACUGUGAUGAAUCUAAGACAAUUAAGUGGUAUCUAAAAGUCCCUUGUCUUAUUUACGUAACCAAACUCCACAGCUUCUAAGUGUUUGAAUUGCAAACUAAGCAUCAAGUUGUAGUCUUGAGGUAUGUAACAACUCUAAAACCAGAGCCAAACUAUAACUCUUAGAAAGGAAGUAAACACAAAGCAUUAAACUGAAGCUAAACACAAACUCUAAAUGAAAACUAAACACUAACCCUUAAACUAGAAUUAAUUUGUAACCGUUAAACUGAGGUUUAGCACCAACCCUUAAGAUGGAGCAAAAACACAGAUUUGUGAAGGUUUUUCAGACCUUAAGAGACAUUUAUAUACAGAUUCUGCGUACAUACACACAUUCAGUUGAGGUGGUAUCUAAUUAAAAUAGCAAUCUAUGUACCAUACUUAAUGUAUGCACACCAUUGAUAGGCUAGUUACUGUAGUAUUUGUCACGAAAUAACAUCUUCUAUGGACUUGCUGAGUUAAAAACCCAACAAAAGUCUGAGCCUUUUGUGGUUGGCUUUCAGAAGGCUCGAUUAAAAAGAUCUAAAAAGGCUGAAAGACAUCUGUGUUCUUGCUAGUCACUGCUGGGAUGAAUAUUUGCUGCUCUCUAAUAUUUAUUGCGUUUUUAACACAUCAAGUCCACAACUGAUGUUAUCUCAGGAUAAAUACUGCAGUACUGUGCUAUCAAUGGUGUAUAUACAUUAAAUAUGAUACAUAGACAGAUACACAUAUAUAUAUUUUUACAUAUGUAUAUACCUUUUAAAUACUUUCAAUUUUACUUACAUUUUUAUAUGCAUAUACACAUUUUUAUAUAUAUAUGCAAGCACUUUACACGUUUUUACAUGCAUUUUUACACACACAAACACAUAUAAAGGUUUAUAUGCACAAACACAUUACAAGAUUUAUACAUACAAAUGCAGCAAAAAAAGAUUUAGAUUAACAAAGUUUUGUUUCCAUUAUUUCUCAUACAGCAAGAACUGACCUGCAAAUCUUUGGAAGAUGGCCAAGGUCAUAUUGCGUCCAGAGACAAAUGCUGCAGGCUGAAGUAGAUUAUUGAAUAAAGUAAAUGAAUGUUUAAAAAUAUUUCUACUUUUACUUCAGCACUAUGAAUAAGAAAUGAAGGAGAAUGAAAGACAUUAUUUUAAAAUUAAUUUCAGCGUUUUCAUUCUGUAUCAAUGCAUAUACAAUAACUUCUUCCUUCCUUUGUUGUUUCCUAAUGGUUAUCUCUUAUUUUUUCCUUUUUUUAGACGGAGACAAUUGACGCUUUUCCUUUCAAAUCUCUUGUUGCUAUUCUCACUGAAAGCAGUUCAUGUUAUUGUUGUUGUUUUCCCCCAGGUCAGCCACGAUUUGAAUACAGCUCAGAUCAAAAGCAUUCAUAUUGUGACCAUCAAGCCUUUUUUUAAGAAUAUAUCCAGAAACUACAUUAUCCAAUGUGACUUACCCAUUUCUAAGAAAACAGGUUGUAUUUUUUCUUUAAGGAGAUUUUGAGCAAUAAAGAGCCCACAUGUUAAUCAUUUGAGAUGACAGAAAAAUAGACAGCAACUGGCAGAAACAUUAGCACACCGGGCAAAAUGCUUAGUGGAAUUUCGUCUGCUGUUACAUUCUAAGUUCAAAUUCCGCCGAGGUCGACUUUGCCUUUUAUCCUUUCAGGGUCAAUAAAUUAAAUACCAGUUACAAACUAAGGUCAAUGUAAUAAACUUAAUCCCUUUGUCUGUCCUUGUUUGCCCCCACUGCAUUUAGACCCUUGUGGGCAAUAAAGAAAUAAGAAAAAUAGGCACUUUGAUGUGUUACCAGAAAUGCCAUUGUUCUAUGAUGAUAAAUAUAUAUGAUAAACUAGGAAUAGAUGAGUGGUUAGUGAGAGCUGUACAAGCCAUGUACAGGGAUGCUGUCUGCAUGGUGAGGGUUGGCGAUGAGUACAGUGAAGAAUUCCGGGUAGGAGUAGGGGUUCACCAAGGAUGUGUUAUUCAUCAUAGUCCUCCAGGCAAUAACAGAGGAAUUCAAGACAGGAUGGCCCUGGGAGCUUCUCUAUGCUGAUGACCUUGCCUUAAUAGCUGAGUCACUAGCAGAACUAGAGGAGAAGUUUCAGGUGUGGAAGUUUGGUCUAGAGUCGAAGGGCCUUAGAGUCAAUAUAGCAAAAACAAAAGUCUUAAUAAGUAGGAAGGCAGACAAACCACAAAUCCCUUCUGGUAGGUAGCCUUGCUUGAUCUGUAGAAAAGGCAUAGGUAGACACUCCAUAAGAUGUACCCAGUGUAAGCUUUGAAUGUGGCACAAGCACAGGCAGGGUCAAUUUUGGCAAGGUUUUUACAGCUGGAUGCCCUUCCAAAUGCCAAAAACAUUACAGUGUAGACUGGGUGCUUUUAAGUGACAUCUACACUGACAGGGUCACCGAAUAACUUGCUAUGCAAAAAAAACUCUCUUUUGAGAAGGGAGGGGCAUCUGAGGAGGUGAUCUUGUGUUAGAUGAUGAAAGGUUAUAGUGAGACAGAGAGACAGAAACAGGUGUUUUGCUGUAGAAGAGGUACAAGAAAGUUAGCUGGCUGGGAGGGGGGAGAGAGAGAGAAGAGGAAUGAGGAUGGAAACUGACGUACUUCCACAAAGGAAAUACAUGGGUACCCAACUUGAGGGAAGUGCAGGGAAAGGAGAGAGAGAGAGAGAGAGAGAGAGAGAGAGAGUGGGAGACAACAGGAUAGAGAUGGUGGCAAAGUGCAAGGCAUACUCAAAGGGCUGUGAGGACAGGAUUGGGGAGUGAGAGGGAGGCAUAGUGUAUGAAGAAGAAAAUGUGAGGAAGGGAAGGUAUGUAGAAAUGUAGGUUGGUUUGUUGGGGUAGGGUGUGUGAAAAGUUUUCUUGUUACAUGUGGGUGGAACACACAGGUCAGGGGCUAGCAGAUAUCAAUGAUACAGUGAGACAGGGCAUGUGGGUGGAACACACAAGUCUGGGGUUAGCAGAGAGCAAUGAUGCAGUGGGACAGGGCCAAGAGGGCAGGAUUGGCAAGUGGAAGGUAGGCAUAGUGCAUGAAGUGGAAAUGUGAGGAAGUGAAGAGAUGUUGAGAUGUAGUCUGAUAAAUUGUAGUAGAAUGUGUGGGAAGUUUUCUUAAGUGUAGGUGGGACACAGCACUUCUAGAACUCAGUUUCACUAAUAUGGGGGCAGGUCUUCUCAAGAACCUCAUAUUGCUAGAUAUCUCAGUCCAUUGUCAUUUCCUCCGUGAGGCCCAGUAUCCUGAGAUUAGUCCUUACAACUUCAUUCUAUGUCUUCCUGGGUCUUCCUCUCCCGCAGGUACCAUCCACUUUCAGUGACCGGCACUUCUUUAUGCAGCUGUCCUCAUUCGUAUGUUCAAAUCACAUGUCCAAACCAACGUAGCCUCUCUCUUCAAUGCUACAUUUGAUUCCUCUUAUGCCCAACUUUUCUCUCAAUACAUUUGCACUUUGUUGUGCCUUCCUGUACUUAAAAAUGAAACACGAAACAAAUUGAAAAAGACAAGCAGCAAUUGUUAUUGAUCUCACCCCCAAGAUCUCUGGAGGAGCUAUAGCAUUGAUGGCUUUAGUUUUAUAACCUUAAUUCGAUGUAAGAUGCAUCUUCUCAGGUUAAGAGAACAGUCUAUCACAAUAAAAUUCUCCAGAAGUUCUGGUGUAUGUUCACCAUAGAUAGAAAAACUGACAUAGCCGAAUUGUGAUUUCCCAAUGAUGCAACUGAUUUCCUGCAGUUAAAAGGAACUCAAGAGCUGAAUGAAUUGGUAGUUCCACACCUUGUAUACUUGACAAUUUUGUUUCUGUAACUAGACUGAAUUGGGUGGGUAGAAACUGAGUCAUGCAUAAAGGUAGUGUUCAGGGACAAUUGUACAGUUCUGGGUUGAAGAUGGCAAUUCAACAUGAAGCAGAAAAAAAUAGUCAGGGCUAAAGAUAGUGGUCAAGACUGAAAGCAGUUGCAUGGACUAAAGGUAGUUGCAUGGACUGAAGUUUACAACCAUGUGGUUUCAGGUUCAGUUCUCCUAUGUGACACUUUGGGCAACUGUCUUCUAUUAUAUAUAACCUUGGAUCAACAAAUGCCUUGUAGGUGAAUUUGGCAGACAGGUACUAUACAGAAACCUGAUCAAUAUAUAUAUAAAUAUAUAUAUUGGGUCAUCCCAUAAAUAAUGCAGUUUUUUCAAUUACAUGAGCUGAAAGUUAGAAGGGGAUGGGAUAAAGUACCUGCAUCAACCUGCUGUAAAAGCAGGUAGUAAUUUUACCUUGUGCUUAUUCUUAGUGCAAGUUUCAAAGAGUGCAGUUCGAUUUUAACCGCUAUUUUUCCAAAGCUAUAAUGGAAGUGGCAAAGGAGCUAAUUCAGCACAUUUUUUUACAUGAGUUCAAUAAAGGCAACAAUGCAAUGAAAAGUGCACAGAAUAUUAUUGCAGUAUAUGGGGAUUGGACAAUAAAUAUAAGCCAGUGUCAAAAGUGGUUCAAGAAAUUUUGAGCUGGAAACUACAGCCUAGAAGAUGAGUUUCAUCCUGGAUUAUCUGUAGAGCUUGAUGAGGGUGUACUGUAAACCCUGGUGAAACAAAAUCCCAUUGUAACUGUUGAGGAACCAGCAGAUUUGGUCAUUCAACCAUUCAUUGACACCUGCGUGCCAUUGAAAAAGUCAGCAAAUUGGGUCAAUGGGUUUCUCACAAAUCUUCCAAGUCUAAUCGCAUGUAGAGAGGGAAUGUGCGCUCUUCUUUGCUGUCAUGUCACACAAGUGAACCCUUUUUGGAUGGAAUAGUGACUGGUUGUGAGAAAUGGGUUCUCUAUAAAAAUGUCAAGUGCUGCGACAGUGGGGCGGGAAAGGAGAAACAUUGGCACCCCAGGCUAAAGGUUUUCACCCAUGAAAAGGUAUUGUUAUCUGUUUGGUUGGAUAUGAAAGGUUUAGUCCACUUUGAACAUUUAAACCCUAAUCAAAAUAACAAAGGAGAUCUGCUGUGAGCAGCUUCAGCAGCUCAAAUCAGUGUUUGAAGAAAAAUGACCAUCUUUGGUUUCAAGAUGAAAGGUGUUCUUCCAACAGGAUAAUACUCAGUCACAUACAGUGAGGAUGACAUUCCAAAGGGUGGAGCAGUUUGAAUGGGAAACGAUGCCCCAUUCACCAUAUUCACAGGAGAUUGCCCCAUCUCAUUAUCAUUUAUUCAGCAGCUUUCAAAAUCAUUUGGAUAGAAAAAUAUGAAUUCUGUAGCUAAGGUGAGAACAACACAGGAGGAGUGUUUUUCGUCAUAGACAAGUGAAUUUUGGAAGUAGGGUCUUGCAAGUCUACCAGAUAGAUGGCAGAGUACUGUAGAAAAUGAAGGAGAGUAUAUUUUAAAUUUUAAAAAAUUUUGUUUAUCUUAAUUUUGAAAAAUAAAAGAAGUAUAAAAUAUGCAUUAUUUAUUUGAUUACCCAAUACACACACACACACACACACACACACACACACACACACACACACAUACAUAUAUAUAUAUAUCAAUAACAAUGAUAAUCUUUGGAUGGAAUUUAUAAACAUUUAAUGUGAUACAUUGAAUGUUUUAAAAUUCCAUCCAAAGAUUAUUGUUAUUAUUGUUAUUAUAUUUAUUCCACAUUAUAUUGGUACAGCUUGAUACAACCCUCAAAUACUGGUCCUUGAGCCAGCAUCAUUAGACUGUGGCUAGUAUAAUGGAAUAGGAGCUUCAAUUGUAUAUUCAAAAUGUUUCCUGUAAACAAAUUUAAAAGAUAUAUACAUAUAGACGUAGGAGUGGCUGUGUAGUAAGUAGCUUGCUUACCAACCACAUGGUUCCAGGUUCAAUCCCACUGUGUGGCACCUAGGGCAAGUGUCUUCUACUAUAGCCUUGAGCUGACCAAAGCCUUGUGAGUGGGUUUGGUUGACGGAAACUGAAAGAAGUCUGUCAUAUAUAUAUAUAUAUAUAUAUAUAUAUAUAUAUAUAUAUAUAUAUAUAUAUAUAUAUAUAUAUAUAUAUAUAUAUAUAUGUACGUGUGUGUAUAUGUUUGUGUGUCUGUGUUUGUACCCCAAACAUUGCUUGACAAAAGAGACCGAUAGAAUAAGUACUAGGCUUACAAAGAAUACGUCCUGGGGUUGAUUUGCUCAACUAAAGGCGGUGCUCCACCAUGGCCACAGUCAAAUAACUGAAACAAGUAAAAGAGUAUAUUUAAUAAUUUGGACAAAUAGGUAUAUGGGUAUACUUAAGAAAUUAUAAUUAUUAUUAUUAUUAUUAUUAUUAUUAUUAUUAUUAUUAUUAUUAUUAUUAUUAUAUAUAUCACAUUUAGGCAUUGCAAUACUAAUAACCUAGAACUCAAUAAAUGUAUGCUUUGGAAUGAAAUGUUAGUCAAGUACAGAGCAGUAAUAAGAAAAGAGAUAACAAAGGAAUAAAUGAUUAUCUUAUGAACUUCAUUAGCUUACAGCUGUUUCGCCAUAAGAUGUGAUGAACUCAUAGUUGAGUACCUGAGUAACACCUUACAGUUUCACCGGUGUUUCAAGCACAAAAUGCCUUAAAACUAUAAGGUGUUACUCAAGUAUUCAAUUAUGAGUCCACAACAUCUUAUAGUGGAAAUAACUGUAGGCUAAAGAAUUUCAAUAGAUAAUCCUUCAUUCCUUUGUUGUCUCUUUUCUUGAGCCUUGUGCUGGUGUCAUGUAAAAAGCACUCAUACCGGUGCCAUGUAAUAGUGCUCAUGCGGUGCCAUGUAAAAGCACCUAGCACUCUCUCUAAAGUAGUUGGUGUUAGGAAGGGCAUCCAGCUGCAGAUAUCAUGCCAAAUCAGACUAGAGCCUGGAGCAGCUCUCCAGCUUGCCAGCUCUCUAAUCAAAUUGUUCAGCCCAUACCAGCAUGGAUAACAGACGUUAGAUGAUGACGAUGAUGACGAUGAUGAUGAUGAUGCUGAUGAUGUGUGUGUGUGUGUGUGUGUGUGUAUACUUUUAUAUAUAUUCAAGGAUCAAGGUGUAGGAAGAAAGUGAGCUUCAAUGAAUCCGUAACAAAAAUAAAAUAGCAACUUUCGGGAACAAUAGCUGUAAAAUAGUGUUUUCUGUUUCCAGUUUAUACAUUCAUACAUAUAUAUACAUAUAUAUAUAUAUAUAUAUAUAUAUAUAUAUAUAUAUAUAUAUAUAUAUAUAUAUAUAUAUAUAUAUAUAUAUAUAUAUAUAUAUAUAUAUAUAUAUACAUAUAUAUAUAUGUAUAUAUAUAUAUAUAUAUAUAUAUAUAUAUAUGUAUAUAUAUGUAUAUGUAUGUAUUAUAUAUAUAUAUAUAUAUAUAUAUAUAACGGGAAGCUUUAUGAAAAUAAACAAAAGACGAAGGCAGGUGGAAAACAAACGAACAAUUGUAUAUAUAUAUAUAUAUAUAUAUAUAUGUAUAUCUAGAAGCAAAAAAAAAUACCACUGCUUAACAGCAUAUUGUUUACAAAGAUUGCACAAUAUGGCAAAAGAUAUCAAGAAGCCAAGAUAUUCACAGAGGACUACAAGUAAAUGAAACCAUUGGGAAGCUAAAAUUUACAAUCCAGCAAACACAAGAGAAACACAAAUAAACUCAUGUACACACACACACACACAGGUACAAACACAUACACACACACACACACACACACACACACACACACACACACUUGAUGAGCUUCAUUCAGUUUCUGACAACCAAAUCCACCCACAAGGCACUUUCCUACAACUUACAUGCAGUGGGACUGAAUCCAAUAUCAUGUAGUCAGGAAGUGAACUUCUCAACCGCAUGGUGUGUGUGUGUGUGUGUGUGAGCGAGUAUAUAUGUGUAUGUAUAGAUAUACGAGUGCACACACAUACAUAAUAUACUCACAUACUUUCAUUUAGAUUUCUAGCAUGUUUAUAUGCACUUCUUUUUUCCUAAAUAUUUUUUAAAAAAUUGUUUUUGAUCUCCUCUCACUAUCCCCACUACCACCACCAUUGUCUGUAUUAUUCGUUAUGUUAGAGAGGCAAUUUUUUAAUAAUUUUUGUCACGGUUUUCUAGUUUACUUUGAUAAACAGUAUCUGCAAGUGAAAGAAACUGCACAGGUAGCUUUCCUAUAACGAAUAAUUCUGAAGCAAUUGUUUCCUUUCAAAGCAAUGAGACUUCAUAUUUUAUUUUACAUUUCAUUGCACACAUGUACACAUACACAAACAUACAAACAUGUGCACAUGUGUAUGUGUGUGUAGCUAUAUGCAUGCAUAUGCAUAUGUAUAUAUCCAUAUAUGUCUAUAUAUACAUAUUUGUGUAUAUAUAUAUAUAUAUAUCUACGUAUGCAUAUACAUAUAUAUACAUAUACAUAUACACAUUUACAUAUAUAUAUAUAUAUGUAUAUAUAUCUAUAUAUCUAUAUAUAUACAUGUAUGUACAUAUAUAUAUAUAUAUACACAUACAUACAUAUAUAUACACGCACACAUAUAUAUGUAUAUAUAUAUAUAUAUACAUAUAUAUAUACACACAUAUAUAUGUAUAUACAUAUAGACAAAUAUAUAUAUAUAUAUAUAUAGAUAGAUUAAUAGAUAGAUAGGUAGAUAGAUAUAGAUAUAUUUGUGUGUGUGUAUACACACACACACAUAUAUAUACACACACAUAUAUAUACAUGCAUGUGUAUGUAUACAUGUACAUAUAUGUGUAUACAUAUACAUUCAUACAUAUAUAUAAAUAUAUCUAUAUAUACAUGCGUGUGUGUGCAUGCAUGUAUGUGUGUGUGUUUAUGUUUACAAAUGAAAGAAAACAAUGGAGAGAAUCAUUUACUAUUUCUCCAUGUACAUGUAUUCAUCAUUAUAUAUUGAGUGCUUUUUCCUUGUGUUUGUCAAGAUAAAAGUAGACUCAUUCCAAACCUGUUGAUCCCUUUCUAUGAACUGACAAUAAAUAGCCAAAAAUGAAGAAGCAUUCCCACUUCUAUAUUCUUUGAAGAAUAUAAAAUACUCUUCAGGAAGCUCUAUACCAUAUAGCUCACUAAAAGAAAAAGCACAAAUGACUGAAUUUUUUUCCUUCAUCACAGUGGUUACUGGGCUCACCACAGACAAGUACACAUUCAAAAUGCAAGAGAAAUCCCUCUCAAAUUAAGGACCUUGAACUUCUUAGCAUUUAAACAACUGACCAUAUCCAGCCUAUAUAUUCUACCCAUUUUAUGCUCUAACUGGCCAGAUCUGGCCUCUCACUCCUACCCUGCAGAGUAAAGACACACUCCGGUCAUGGAUGACCAUGGGAUUGCACGUAGAAAGUUCCCUUCUGAAGAACAAGUCCAAGCAAAGUUGUUUAUGGAAGACCAGCAGCUGCCCAUGCAUACAAGUCUCCCCUCUCUACACAAUGGAUGCUAUUUAAGGAAAAGGCAGAGGCCAAUACAGCUUGGCACUAAUAAUGUUGCAACUUAUUUCUACAGCUGAAUGAGCUGGUCAACGUGAAAUAAAGUGUCCUGAAUAAUAAUAAUGAUAAUGAUGAUGAUGAUAAUAAUAAUAAUAAUAAUAAUAAUAAUAAUAAUAAUAAUAAUAAUAAUAAUAAUAAUAAUAAUAAUAAUAAUAAUAAUAAUAAUCAUAAUAAUAAUAAUAAUAACAAUAAUAAUAAUAAUAAUUCAUAGCCAUGUGUGAGAGGGAUUCUUUGGGGUUUGAAUAAUUCCCCUCUCGAAACAUGUGUGUUUCGUUCAACAUCCUUAAACAACCCUCAUUUAGGGACCUUUUGAGUGGGAUGGAUUACUUGACCUGAAGAAAAUUGUAACUGAGCCCCAUCUGCAAGGUCAUGUGCUGUUUAUAUUGAUAUGAGAUCACCAUGUCGCGCACAUAUGGUUGUGAUGUAUAUGCCUAGAGUACCCUUAUCAGACGGGUAGUCAUGAUGGGUAUACUGGGCUUUGUAUAUUUUACCCCAGUGUCACUUUGAUGGCAUGCACUGCUCUCUCACUCAAUAAUAAUAAUAAUAAUAAUAAUAAUAAUAAUAAUAAUAAUAAUAAUAAUGAUGAUGAUAAUAAUAAUAAUGAUAAUAAUUGGAAUAAAUAAGCAGUACAUUUGCUGAUACAAUCUGAAUGCCUAAAAGUUUAAAACACUGAAUCCAAUCUCAUCAUUUUGAAGAAAGAGCAAAAUUUUGUUAUAAUGGUUCCUUGCAAAAUACUUCAAAGACAAUAUAUGAUUAAACAUGAUCAUACACUCUAAGCUCCUGACAAACAACUGAAAGAUACCAAAAAAUAAAUAAAUAAAUAAAUAAAAUUAAAAAAACAGUCCUUUCAUAUACAUGUCAUAAGUACAAAUACAAAAGAACUAAAAAGAACUAGUUUCCUGACUACAGAGUCAGGAAACUAGUUCUUAUUAGUUCUUUUGACUGUCUCACCAUUCUUACACCUUGCAUUGCCCUCAAGGACUAUAAAGCAAACUUCCUUGCUCAGCCAAAAGUAAAUAUGAAAUAAUUAUCCAGUGCAUUUUUAAUUCUGUCAGUGUCAUGAUAGCACAAUGAUGCUAGGAAAAGCAUCAUCAAGUAGAUCUAUGGUAUUCAAGAGAGAAUUCUACAAUGAAUAUCUAGAUACCAGUGAAAUAAUGAAUGCCAGGAAGUCACUGUUAUAUUAUGGUAGUUUCUCCUACUUCAAAAAGGAGAAUGAUUCUUUGACAUUUCCAUAGCAAUUUAUAACACAGCUGAAAUGGCUGAUCUUGUGGGACUUUUUAUCAUCAACAUCAUCCUUUAAUAUCUGUUUUCCAUGCUGGGGCACCGCCUCGAAGAAUUUUUAGUCAACUGUAUUGACCCUGGCACAUCCUUUUUAUAAGUUUGGUACUUGUUCUAUUGGUCCCUUUUGCUGAGCCACUAAGUUACAGGGACAUAUGCACACCAGCACCAGUUGUUGAGCAGUAGUGGUGGGAUGAACACAGAUACAAAGACACACACACAUAAAUAUAUAUAUAUAUACAUAUAUACGAUGGGCUUCUUUCAGUUUUUGUCUACCAAAUCCACUCACAAGGUUUUGGUUGGCUAAAGGCUGUAGUAGAAGACACUUGUCCAAGGUGCAAUGCAGUGGGACAGAACCCAUAACCACAUGGUUGGGAAGCAAGCUUCUUCCUACUGAGCCACACCUGUGCCUAUAUAUAUAUAUAUGUGUGUGUGUGUGUGUGUGUGUGAAUACACACACAUAUAUAUGUAUAUAUAUAUAUAUAAUGUCUAUGUUGCAUGCUGGCAUGUGUUGGAUGGUUUUACAGGAUUCAACAGGUCCAAGAACUGCAUUGUGCUAAUGUUUACUUUGGUAAGAAUUUUAUGGCUGGAUGGCCUUCCUAAUGUCAACCAUUUUACAGCAUGAAAUGGAAGCUAUUUUUGAGCCGCUAAUACAAGUGAGGUCACCAGCUUGCAAGACUAUGAACCCUGACAGAGAUGGCCUUACAUUAGAAGAUGAAGGGUUAAAUUAUAAGAGAAAGGACCAGUGAGUCAGAGCAAAACAGGUUUCUUGGUGUAAAGGAGCUUCGCAACAACUUACAUUUUAGAAGAGAGACCUGGGGUGAGCAGGGUAGACCUGGGAAGAAACAAAACUUGUCACUAUCACACUUGUGUGUGUGUGUGCAUGUGCAUGUGUGUGUGUGUGUGUGUGUGUGUGUGUGUGCAUACACAUAUCAAAUUAAAGGCAAUUCAGAAAUCCAAGUGAUACAUAUAUAGGUGUGUAUGCAUGUGUAGUCACUCACAAACACAUAUAUUUAUAUGCAUGUAUCUGUAUAUUCAUACACGUGUGUGUGUGUGUGUGUGUGAGUUUAUGUCUGAAAGCCUCUCGUAAAUGUUUGCCUUUUGUAUGGUAUUGUAAUGUAUUGUAGUAACUGCAAUCCUACAUAAUGUUCAUUGUCAUAUUCGUUUUUGGUCCAUGUAGCUAAUAAAAAAAACUUUGUUUUUUUGUUUUUUUCAAACAUACAGUUCAUGCAGAAACACACUCACACACGUACACACAUACAGACACGCAUACGCACACACAUACUCACACACAUAUGUAUACAUAGAUACAUACUUAGAAGACUAAACAAAAAAUUAAAAAGCCAGUAAGUUAAGAAAUCAUGAAGCAUGAUGCUCCAUGACUAGCAUCUUCCUGGCAGGAGAAAGUAAACACUUUCCAGUAAUGAUUUUAUUGAAUACUGUCAUUCUUUCUUUCUUUCUUUCUUUCUUUCUUUCUUUCUUUCUUUCUUUCUUUCUCUCUUAUUCAAAUCUCUUUAUCUUCAACAGAAGCAAUGUUUGGUAGUAAAGUUUCAUGAAUGGUUGACAUUAUUAUUAUCAUUAUCAUCAUUAUUAUUAUUGAUAUUAUUGUUGUUGUUAUUUAAGAGAAAUCGUGAUUAUUAUUAUUAUCAUCAUCAUCAUUAUUAUUAUUAUUAUUAUUAUUAUUAUUAUUAUUAUUAUUAUUAUUAUUAUUAUUAUUAUUAUUAUUAUUAUUAUUAUAGUUGUGGUUAUUAACAUUAUUAUUUGUAUAAAAUGCUUUGUAUUUUGUAUUAUGAGCUCCUGUGGCCAAUAAAGAAAUCAUUGCUGUUGUCAGUCAUUGUUUUUGUUAUUGCUGCAGCUACUGUUGCUUGUUGUUAUUGUGUGGGAGAAAUAAUGAUACAGGAGCCAAUGAAAGGAGCAACAGCUUCUGUUAUUUAUUUAUAUGUCUCUCUGUUUCUUUCUUUCUUUCUCUCUCUCUCUCUGUUUCUUUCUGUCUCUUUCUCUCUCUCCCUUUCACUGUUAUGGUUUGAAUCCAAAUCUCAUUCCCCCUUGCAUUUGAAUUUUCCUUUUGUGCCUUUGGAUGUAGACUCAUCCUUUAGCAUUCAGAUUACUUGCCAGUCCUUCUUAUUUCUUUAUUGUCCACAUGGGGCUAAACAUAGAGGGGACAAACAAGGACAGACAAACGGAUUAAGUCGAUUAUAUCGACCCCAGUGCAUAACUGGUACUUAAUUUAUCGACCCCGAAGGGAUGAAAGGCAAAGUCACCCUUGGCGGAAUUUGAACUCAGAACAUAACGACUGACAAAAUACCGCUAAGCAUUCCGCCCAGCGUGCUAACGUUUCUGCCAGCUUGCCGCCUUUACUUGAUUAAGGAUUUACUUGCCAAUCCUUCUGGUGAUGUAAAGCACUCAUGGUAUUGCCAUGUAAAAGCAUCCAUGCAGUACCAUGUAAAAGCACCCUGGUGCCAACAUGCAAAAGCACCCAUGUGAUGCCAUGUAAAAUUGCCCAUGCAGCACCAUAUAAAAGCUCUCAUGUGGCACCAUGCAAAAGUACCUGUGUGGUGUCAUGUAAAAGCACUCAGCAUGCUUUGUAAAAUGGUUGGUGUUAGGAAAGGCAUCCAGCUGUAGAAACUAUGCCAAAUCAGACUGGAAUCUGGUGCAGUUCCUCAGCUUGUCAGCUCUGGUCAAACCAUCCAACUCAUGCCAGCAUGGACAACAGAUGUUAAAAUGAUGAUGAUGAUGAUUACUUUGUUAAUUGUAAUGCUUAUUUGUCCAUUCUGUUUUGAAUUAAUUAUACUUUUGAGAUUUUGUUGAUGUGAUUGUUUACUUUUAGAAUGACAUUUUAGGAUAAGUGUGAAAAGCUGAAUCUGGAUGGCUUGAAUAUAAAACAGGUAGAAACGUUUGGGCCAGAUAUGGCUGGUCUGAGUGCUAAAGGGUUAGAUACAAUAAGAGCCAUUCCUGUAUUUAUAUAUAUUUCUUUAUUGCCCACAAGGGGCUAAAUAUAGAGGGGACAAACAAAGACAGACAAGGGGAUUAAGUCGAUUACCUCGACCCCAGUGCGUAACUGGUACUUUAUUUAUCGACCCCGAAAGGAUGAAAGGCAAAAUUGACCUCGGCAGAAUUUGAACCCAGAAUGUAACGGCAGACGAAAUACAGUUACGCAUUUCGUCCGGCGUGCUAAUGAUUCUGCCAGCUCACCGCCUUUCUGUAUUUAUAUAGUUAAGCUCUUUGCUCCCUAUGGGGUAUUGGCCAUCAGUGACUUCUCCCCAGUGUUCUUAACUCUGGGCUGUUCUAUCUUCCACAUCCCUGUGGAUCCCCACUGAGGUAGGGCCUCUCUCAGGCCAUGUUUGUUUUGAAUUGCCACAUAAAAAGCACCUAGUACACUCUUUUCAGAGGUAGGUGUUAGGAAGGGCAUCUGGCCAUAGAAACCAUGCCAAAACUGACAGUUGGAGCCUGGUGCAGCUCUCCAGCUGGUCAACUCCUGCCAAACCGUCCAACCCAUGCCAGCAUGGAAAACAGAUGUAUGAAGAUGAUGACGAUAAUGAUGAUGAUGAUUAUGAUGAAUGUUUCUGUAUUUUGCCUUUUUGCUAGGUAGAGGUGUUGGUCUUACACAAACCCAUUUUUAUGUAAGGGAAAACGUUGUUCAUAUUAAUCUGGCCUCCAUCUUUUGACCUGUCCUGCAUGGGAGGCCCUACUAGGGUCACUGAGGCACAUACAUUACCACAUUUUAACAAGGACUGAGUUUUGUGAUGAUUUGUCAUGUACUGGGAGGGAGACUGCUAUUUGGCAUUUUGAACUGAGGUGGGGAAGUAACCAGCCACAUAUGAACAUGUUACUUUUUUUACAGUUUCAGAUCAGUGUAUCUGAUAUCUAAUAUCAUUUAUGUCAGUAUCUUCUUUUCAUCUUUUUUGUUUUUUAGAUCUUACUUGUGUCAGUCAUUGGACUGCAGCCAUGCUGGGACACUGCUUUGAAGGGUUUAGUCAAUCAAACCAACUCCAGUACUUAAUUUUUUAACUUUGGAAUUUAUUCUAUGGAUGUCC
rnacentral:lncRNA from 1 species